rnacentral:lncRNA from 1 species
GUGGGCUUUUACAGCAGCUGUUUCAAUUGCUGGGCAAUGGUGGGAGGGUGAUGGAGCUCAUUCCACUGCUCUGCUCUGCUCUGUUUCAUAUAUAUUUUUUAUAUGAUGACGUCCAUAUACGAUCUUCUUGGAAGAUGAGAGGAAUGACCGGUGGUCUCUUUUCCCUCCGUCUUUAGGAAUUAAGGUGUUGUCCUUUGGGAGCAGUUCCUGAUGCUAGGAAGAGCAAAAAAGCUGAGAACUUGUGAACAGUGGCAGAGUAUGAAUGGAAUGACAGAGGGAGGGACUACGCUCGUCAUGAAGCGAAGCGCAGGACUAAUAACUGCACUGUCAGCGGUCAAGUGGAACUCAGAGAGAGAGAGAGAGAGAGAGAGAGAGAGAGAGAGGUGCAGCGGUGGGAGUCGCCACUUUAGAUCUCGGUUCAAAAUCUCUCCUUUUCUUCUCUUUCUCUUCCUCUUCUGGUGAAUAAAACUGGACCAGAGGCGACGGGGUCGGGUCGGUUGGCUAUCUUUUGACGUGCGACGAUCUGUACUUGUGUGAGGGAUUUGGUGGAGGAAAGGCCGCGUCUUCUCUUCCUCAACCCCUGCGUUGCGUGACCCAGUGGGGCUACUGGUUACGUAGUUUCGAUAUGGAGAGGCGUGGUUGGUGGGGGUGAUCUCUUCUUCCUGGUGUCCUUUUCUGAAUCCUCAGGGUGCGUAGGGUGAGGAAAAAUUCGAUCUUGCGCCGCGUUUAAGAUCGCCGGUCCUUUGCUUUAUUCGAUCCCUCCCUCCGUGUCGUUUCUGCCCAACUUUUGCAGGGGGAGAGAAUAUUUGGAUCGCCGGUUCCUCUUCCUGCGCCCCUUUUUUGAACUCCCAGAUGAGCUUAUGUGCACAAGCGAAGCCCUUCGUUGGUCUUCCACUUUUGAAUCUGGACUCCGUUCAUCUCUCUCUCUCUCUCUCUCUCUCUCUCUCUCUCUGUGCGCUGCUUUUUUUUUGUGUAAUGGGCAUAGGUUAUGGGUUUUACGUGGAGCUGCGAUUAGUUUAAUGGCAGCGAGGUGGUGGUGGGGAAGGCUUCCUUAUCCUUUGGGUCACCCUGCGACGUACUUUUGUCUUGUAAUGCUGUUCUUCACGAGGGUUUGACAGAGUUUUCCUUUUGAAAAGAUCCCAUCUUUCCAUCUUUUUUGGCCGAAUUCUUCUUCCUUCGGUUUCCCCUUGUGUUGUUCGAAGCGCUUCUUUAAUCAUUGUAUUGCCUCUUUUUUAGCUUUUACCUCCUCACUGUGAGAUUCCCUGCUCUCUUGUUCUUUUAGGGUGUGUGAGACCACCGCACUCACAUCCACUUCUCUUGAGCUGCUGUGCUCCUUGUAGGACCUUCAAAUCACUUGGCUUUGUUGCUACAGUCCGAGAAAUGGGCCGGGCGACGCGGUGGCUGCGGAGCCUGUGGGGUGGGAAGAAGGAGAGCAAGGAUCCCAAGGAGUACUCCCGCUACAGCGGUGGCGAGGACAGGAGGGAGAAGAAAAGGUGGAGCUUCGGGAAGCCAGCCAGGGACGCCGGGGAGGUGGUGCUCGGCCAGAAUGCUUCGACGGCGGCGGCGGUGGAGGCGGCGUGGUUCAGGUCCUUCUACGCUGAGAGCGACAAGGAGCAGAGUAAGCACGCCAUCGCCGUCGCCGCUGCCACAGCUGCGGCCGCCGACGCAGCGGUGGCGGCGGCGCAGGCUGCGGUCGCGGUCGUGCGGCUGACGACCAGGGGGACGGGCGCCGCUCUCGACAGCUGCCGCGAGCGGUACAUGGCGGCGGUCAAGAUCCAGACAUCAUUCAGGGGAUACUUGGUACUGAAACCAGCUCACCUUGGUUCCCUCUGCGUGCUUCAUGCUCGCCUUGUUCUUGCUAAACGUCCCAUAUUUUCUGAUCCUAAUCAAUGACAUCAUCCUGUUCUUCCAGGACGAGAUUUAAUCCCUUCUGGUUUGCGAUUUUGCAGGCAAAGAAAGCCCUCCGAGCUCUCAAAGCACUAGUGAAGCUACAAGCUUUAGUUAGAGGCUAUCUGGUACGCAAGCAAGCCACAGCUACUCUUCGUAGUAUGCAGGCCCUCAUCAGAGCUCAGGCCACCGUCCGAGCUCAGAGAUCUCGAAAUCUUCUUCCACAUGACCGAAGGUUUCAGCUAGAAUUCCGCCAUCGGCGAUCGUUGGUACGCUUCCAACACAGGCUGCUGCGCCAUGUAAUGCUGCGUUGCUCGGUUCGCUAUCUGUUUGCUUUGGUCGCAGGAAAGGUUCGAUGAUACGCGGAGCGAGAACACGUCGUCGUUCCACAGUAGAAGGCUCUCCGCGUGCCUCGAUAAUGUCUCGAACAGCUUCGACCGGAGCCCGAAGAUUGUCGAGGUCGACACCGGCCGCCCGAGGUCGAGGUCUUCCCGACGAAGUACUCCAUCUGUCUUAGACCCCGCCGAAGACUUGCACUGGAGCUCCAUCACGUCUCCUCUCCCAUGCCAGAUUCCGGCGAGGAUCUCCGUCCCCGACUGCCGGGACUUCCAAGACUACGACUGGUGCCUCGCCUUCGAGAAAUGCCGACAAUCUGCAACCGCGCAGAGCACCCCUCGCUGCGCAAGUUCAUGCAGCAACUGGCCAGUCACUGGGGCGAAGAGCGUGUGCGACGAGGACGGAGUUCUCCGCCGCUUCUCGAACGUGCCGAGCUGCCCCAACUACAUGGCGAGCACGGAGUCAUUCGAGGCGAAGUUGAGGUCUCAGAGCGCUCCGAAGCAGCGGCCGGAUCCGGCCGGGACGAGGAAGAGGCUGCCUCUGAGCGAAGCGACGGUGGAGUCCAUGGCUGCUCUUAGCGGAGUGGGAUUCCAGAGGCCCUGUUCUCGAGCUCAGGAGGACUUCAACUUUAGGAGUGCUGUCGUUGGGAAAAUCGACCAGUCCUCCGAGUUGAGGAGGGAGGCAGAGGAAGAGUUCUACUUGCCAAGGAAGUGGUAAUGCAGGAACAGAGUCAUAAGAUUAUUAGAACAAGAGGAACAUAGAGAGAUCUGUACUUCUUUCUCUGGAUCAUUUCUUUUGCUGUUGUGUUCACAGCACUGGUGGAGAGAGAAGCAUAGUGUGGUUUCCAUGUAAAUUCUUGACAAAUCUCAUCUUCCUCAGGAGAUGCAUUGUUUCCUUCCAAGUUAAUCAUCUUCAACCUCUUUAUCUACUGGACUUUGUUGGACUGGUUUGCAUGUGCCUCUUUUCUGCAGCUUAUCCUUGGGUUAAAAGAAACAAAGAGACACCAAAGGUUGCUCAACCAUUCACUCAUACCCAUAGCGAAACACAAAGGAAAAGGAUCAUCUGAUGUACUUUGGCCAAAACAUCUGUAACCACUCAGAUCAAUACUGCAAUAAAGUUUUGUUUCACAAGAAGAAGAAAACACACAAAGUUUAUGGAACCCAAGAUGGGCAUAAGUACCCGAAGAGUGUGAUCAAUCCAAGAAAGCAAGACAUAGACAACUUCUGAAGCUCCACUGGCUUCUGAAGCCAAUGGAUGAGGAGUUAAGAAAAAAAGCUCACAUAGACAACUUAUCAUAAGGUAAAGGAAAAGAACUCCACAAGAUUGAAGGGUGGGCAUGGUUUUCAAAGAUGAGAUGACACAAGUCAUGUGGGAGGUCUGAGAGGGUCAGCAGAUGAGCAGCAGGUUGCUGACCUGAAAACUUUCCACUCCCUCCUUCAUGUUUCCUUUUCAGCAAUCAUUAGGUUUUGCUAUGAUUGAUGAGAGAGUUUGGGAGUGUGUGCACACAAAACACCAUGUGGACUUUCCUCGGUGCUCUCAGUCUCUCCCUACGCUGCGUGCACUGUCGCCUUCCAAUCCCAGGGCCCGUAGCUUGCAUCACCUUGCCUCACGACUCCAACUGGAGUUCCUAUUGCCACCGUCCUCUUGACCCCUCGCCCUUUGGCCACUUCCGCUGCUCUCCUCCGUCACCACAGCUUCCUCCACGACCCUAUCUCUCGACUGGCACAGCAGCCCGUGUCCUUGCUCCACUCCACCGAUCGAGUGCAUCGCUGCUGCAUGCCGCUCCUCGUCUUCCUUCUCGAACGAGGUGACAGCAUAACGGACUGAACCACACGAUCACAUUGCUCGAUCGGCAUGAAGCAUCACGUUAAUGGUGUCACCUCAGCGUGAAACAAUCUACGAAGUUGAUGCUUGUAGGUACGUAGGAUUAUUGUCCUUGUCCUUUUCUAACUCUCAUCGAUUAAUUCGUUGCUCCUAUGAAGCAUUGAUAUGAUAGUGCACCAGUUCUUGUUCCAUGUUCUAUCACGGUUGAAGUACUAUGAGUGUCCGAUUACUGUUUUGAGGAGUUCAGCAAGGUCAAGGCUAACGCUAUCCUAUGAAAUUAAUAUUAUUAGUUCACGCAGGGUUUUAGAAUAGGGGUCAUGAAUAUAAUAAUGUCAUGACCUAAUGGAUCCAAUCUUAAACAAAUGAGGACAAGGAAGUGGGACAAGCUUACCUGAUGGGAUGAACAUUCAAAAUUUCCCUCCAAACUCGGCACCACUAAUCUACACUACAGUGAUACAGUGACACACACACAUAUAUAUAUAUAUAUAUAUAUAUAUUUGCUCGCUAUUCAUUUCUAUCACUAUAAACAAGAAUGAAAGAAAAUAGUUACUUGAGAGAGCUUCUCAUGGGUUGAAGAAAUGUUUUACAGCUUGCAAAGUCCAGGAAUUCGCUGCAGGAAUGGAGGCAUGACCCACAAAGGCACAUGUAAAGGGACAUGGUUGCAAACCCCCAAACGCCUUGUUCCUGCCUCAUGUCUUCCACUGGUUCAUGCCAGUGUCAACUAGGCUGAAAAGAAGAGGAAGAACAAUAAUUACCACACUGUGAUAACCUUAUCUAAUAUGAUAUGUGCUAUAGCAGAUGGUUUUGAUCAGUAUACCAGACACUAUCUAACCCCAAAAGUACAUUCUAAGUUUCUAUAGACAUGCAACGGAAAGCAACACACAACAAGCAUGCUGAAGAGAAAGACGACAAGCAUGAUAAAUGUUACAGAAGAGAGGUCUCUCAACGUAGUAGUUUACACAAACAGGUACAAAUAACAACCAGAUUUUGCAACAAAACGCCCAAAAUAGACCACAAGCUCGUUAUUCCUCACGCUCAUUGCAAGUUCAGGUAGAUUCAAGGGUUUAACACCAACGACACGACUGGCAGAAAUAGACUCCAUAAAGUCCAUCCAAGGAUUUAACACCAAAGACACGACCGGCAGAAAAGGAUCGGGGCUCCAUGGCCAUGUUCAAAAGCCCUGAUCAAAGAGAUAGUCGCCAAGCCUCUCCACUACCAUAUUGCAUUGACCAGGCGUCAUGGGCUCAUUAUAUAUGCCAAUGAUCAAAGCCAGAUUGGUUUUCUUGAUGGUGACACCGCCAGAACCCUAAAUAUUUAAAACAAGUCAACGGUCAGCAGAAAUUGUGGCUGAAGACAUUAUUUACCAAAAAGUAUCAGAUUGCGUUUCUUAAUUAUGUACUCCACUGGGAACAUGUAUGUGUGUGUUCUUUUAUUUUAAAUAUGCCACUGCAACAUUCAUAUAGCCAAUUUUUCAAUAAAUAAUGCAAAACAGACUCUGGACGAUGAGCAUAGGCAAUGACAACACAGGCAAUUAUCGUGUUUUGUCAACACAUCAGUUAGUAAGAAACAAGCUGAUAGAUAGCCAAAUGGGAAUCAAACAUUCUCAAUAUAGUUUUUUUCACAAUGCAUUGAGAUGAUCUAACCAGCAGACUGAAUAAACCCACAAAGCCAUUUACAAUGCAUUUUAACACAAAAUUUUGCCAUAAAAGACUGAUGAUUGAUUGCUAUAAUAUCAAAAGGUUUAUAAAACAAACAACAUUCUCGAUGUUCAUAAAGAAAAUCUGAGUUAUCAAAUUGUAUGCGCUCUAUAGUUCAUUGUUUCCCAUGUUUAAUUUAUUUUUAUCUUCAUUAUAUUAUUUUAUAACAACAACAACAAGAUGUUGUAAUGUCUCAAUUAUUUGGUAUAGGAAAGAACAACAUAAUGCAGGGAGUCCCAUCAAUAUGAGGCCUAGAGAAAAUCAAUGCACAUAGCCGCCUUAGUUACAGAGAAGCUGUUUCCAUUUACUGGAUCCCUAAUCUAUCAGGUUAGAUAGAAUAAACCUUACCUCACACCUUAACCUUUAGAAAAUUUAAAGUUGAGCACUACUGACAAAACCAGUAUUUAUGUAUUGACCCUUCUCAAAACAAGUUGACAAGUCAUCUAUGGAGAAACUACCACAUAAAUUACUGAAAUCAUUAAACAAUUUGUUAAGUGUUACAAGUAUAUUACUGAACAUUAAUCACUUGAAAAAUCAAGUGAGUACCAUGAAUGAGACAUUCUUUGUAACAAAGUUGAAAUUUCAUGCACUUGAAAUUCUGAAUCCAUACUAAAAAUUGCACGAAUUUAGUCUAGUCCAUAAAUGGGAUGUAGAAUUCUGACCUUCUUCCCUCGAAUAACAGCUCCUGGUUCCCCUUGGAUGACCAUGUACUUCGUCCCACCAAGGUAUAAACCAGUUGGAGCAAGAGACCCAGGUUCAUCGAAGUCUUUCAUAAUUGCAGCAAUCUCUUCAGGCUUGCACUGCACAGUUAAUAAGAAUAAAGCUAUUGACUGAAUAAAUAAAAGAUAUAGAAAGAAUCCUCGGAACGAUCAGAUAGUGCAUUAUAUUGAAUAUUUGCACUGACAAUCGGAGAGAAAAAAAGCCUUGAAAUAAAAAAAAAGCAAAUAAAGUAACACACUUUUCUUUUUUAUUUUCAUGUCAUCCACAAGUAAAUGUCCAUAUUCAUUGACACAAAGGCAAACAUAUUCAUGCCACAUAUCAACAGAUGUAUGGGUAUCAAAUGUAUAUCUGCAUAAUGUACACAUGAUAUCUUGAUCAUUAUACUUCAUAAACAUAAUUUAACAGUUACUCAUUGACUAACUUAAGAAAUUAGCAAGCUCACUUGAUAAAUUUAUACUCUAAGCUAUAUAAAAUUAUAAAUAAUAAAAGUUCUUCAAAACCACUAUAUGAUGAGAAUGCCUUUGGAUUAACUGACGACAUCAUAUCCCUUUGUAAAAUGAUGAGAAACUAACCUUGUUCUAUCUUAGUUGUUAUGAUGUGACCCAAUGAGAUAACUGACCCAUUAGGAUGAUAAUAGUAGAAGACUCAAAUCAAAGCUAAUAGUAGAAGACUCAUUUAGUUCUCGUAGACCAAUUCAAUUCAAACUAAAGUUGAGGUAUUGCAAUAUUUCAUCACUUAGGGCUUCACAUCAUCGUCAAGACCCGACAUAUCUUAGAAUCAAACCUCAGUGCAACUUGAGGGUCAACAUAUUGGUGGUUUCACAUAGUGAUGUCUCUUUGGCCAUAUCCACAUGUAUCUAGCUCUUUCCUAUUUGGGUUCCUCAACAUGAUUAAUACUAAGUGUGUUCUAAUACCAUUUGUCAUGAUACCGUUUGAUGAGACAACUAACUCAUUAACUUGAUAGUCUAGAAUCAUAUGGUCUCUAGUAAAACUCAUCUAGCUCUUAUAAGCCAACUCAAUUCACUUUCCACAUCCAAUGUGAAACUAUUUGGAGUGUUAUAAUCUCUCCCACUCAUAUUAGGGAAGUUCACAAUAAGUUUAUUUGCAAUGAUCCUAUAACAAUAAUUAUCGCCACCACAAACAUUUAAUGAUCCUACAAUAGAGGCUGAGCUCAACGGUCUUAGAGGAUAAAGAACCCUUGACAACUCCGUCUACAUCGUUUUGUAAUUAAAAUAAAAGAACCAAAAUUGCUCACGUUUCGAAAUUGUAUUGACCUCUAAGAGCCGAAGCUUAAUAUCUUACAGUAACGAAUGCAACAACUAAUGUCACUUGAGCAUGAAAUCCGGAAUUAGAUUCCCUCUCGAAUCACCGUUGGUAAUCCCUGCAGAAACUAACACCUGAAAUUUAAUGCGAUGUAAGAAAGUCACAUGAUUUGAUCUGCCAUCCAAUCCCUCCCAGCAAAGUUCCCGUUGCUCCGACAAGCAAUGGAUUAGUUAAAAAGCAUGAUCGGACACUUACCAACAUCCAUGAAGUCAAAUUCUUCGUCGACAGGAAAAUCACAACCCAAGGGGAUCGAAUCUACGACGAACCAACAGUCCUCGAUCAGAUAGAGAAAACCCCUCCCCAGUCACUUUCACCACCGACCACAGAAAAAGGACCCAAAGAUAGAUCUCCGGCUCCAAUCAUCAUCGGCCAGAUCCAAAGAUCACAACACGAUCCGAUCGAAUCUAACUAGAACGACGGGCAGGAGAAUCAAGCGAGGCUACUAGGAGAAGCGAAAGGAAGGAUACCUGAGGGAAGACGUCGCUCUGGGCCCAGACGCUGCCAUCGUGGCCGACGAUGGCGGCGGCCGUGAGACACUGGCCAUCGAUGUCGCACAACAAAUGGUCGUCAACGUACGUCUGCCAAGACAUCGUCCUUCCCCUUCUUCUCCGGGCGCUCGCCUCGGCUCCAACGCGUGAGCAGUAAGCGCUCGCCUCCUCUGCUUAGGGUAACUCCCACUCGCAUAUAUACGUAUAUAUAUGGAAGAAUCGACGGGUGAGGGAGGGGCAAUAGAAUAACGAUAUCGUCGGAGGUGGGAAAUGUAAAAGGCGCUGUGGGCCUAAAGUCCAAUAGGUCGUCGGAUGGGCAGUGGGCCCCAAUGGGCCUAAGAAUUAAGAACGGUUAACUAAAAUGAUACAGAUCAGAGGCUAUCUUUCAAGUUAUCAUAAGUUUAGUAAAGGGAGAUGAUAGGUUUGAUAAUUAGUUUUGUAAAUACUUAUUUGGAAUAUUUUUAAUAAAUAUCCCUUCGAUGUUUGAGAUCAAGAACUAAAUGAACCUUUAUGUUAGACGCUAAGUCGAUAUCAUAAUUGAACGUAAGACUGAUGAGAUAGGAUGAUAUCAUAUUUCUUACGUGUUAGAACUUCGAGAACAAUUGAACUCGAUAACCAAAAAAAAUUUCAUGUAGUUGACCUCAACGACUAAAAAAAUAUUCAUAUUAUUUUUCCCAAAUAACUGAAACAUCAUUCUUUAAUUCGGUUUGUAGAGUGUCAGUACCAAAAUAACCUCAUCGAUGUACAUUAAUAUACUGUUGUUGAUCGCAUAGUGAUAGCGAGAUGGCCAACCAUGUCUCCCAUUUACAUGGCAUAAAUGCAUGAGUGCAUGUGAGCUCCAUCGAGGCCACAACAAUAAUGUCAUUUCAUUAAUAAUUUUGUAUAUAUAAAUCUUGUGUACACCAAUAAUGUCAAGUCAAAAUUAACCCAAAGUCAAACUAGACGCUUAGAUUACAUUGGAACGUACUCUCCAUAUCACAUAAGUUAUAUCUCGACAAGAUCGAGCUCAUACCCACUUGUGAUCGCACAUCCCACCGCCCUUUUGAUCCUUGGAUUCUUUGUAGGCGGGAGCGAAGUGGAUGAUUGCAAGCUCGCGCUGUGGCAUCGUCGUCUAUCCACGCAUAGACAGACCAAAGCUUUGUUUUGGCUUCUUGCUUUGCUUUGAACUAAAGAUUAUCGCUGCACGGCCUUUUGAGCGACCAUUUAUCAAAGCUGCCUCUUUGUUCAGCGCUUUGCAUGGAGUGGUCCUAUCGAGAUUUGUCGCUAAAGAAGAUAAAGCCUACAGCGAUUACUUGCAGGGGACGGGAGCAAUCAUUCGUGCUUCAUUGUGAUCGAAGCAAUCAUUGGCAAUUUCCCUUUGCUUACCGAACCCACCACGGAUUGACCGCAACGGGGUACGCACUCGACGGCCGCAUAGAAGAUGGAGGACGACGAGGCGCGGUCGCAUGACGGGCCGCACGUCUUUUCUUGCCCACCGCCACCACCAGCCGCUUCCCCUCCCUAAUUCCCUCCGCGAUCGCGGGUUCCCCGCCCCGCUUCUCUCUCUCGUUUGGUCUUGCACCUGCGGUGGUAAGUCUCUUACUUUACUACCAAGGCUACCUUGAUGCCAGCUACACUCUUCGAUGUGACCCAGGAGACGGGGCAAGGCAGAUCUACUUCGGCAAUUCUUCUUCUUCUUCUUGCUGGUACGCCCCCCACCCCCAUUCUAUGUUCUCGUAAUGGUUGCUCAUGUUUGGUCGUCGGUCUCUAGCUUGCUUACUCGCACAUGGUGAUCUCUGAGACGAUGCUUUCCCCUGCGAUUUGCCGUCGUUCUUUCAUUCGUGGCUCUCGUGUAGGGAAAUUGAUCUGGCUCUGUCGAGUUUGAUAUCCGGAUUGAAUUAGGUACGAUGCGCAGGUCUGGGGAGAAUGGUGCUGUAGUUUCUGUUGCUGGUGUAUCUUUCUUUCUUUCUCCGAUGGGCGGUAGCCACUCAAAUCAAAGCAAUUUUUUGGUGGUAACAGUUCGAGCACCUUUGGAUUGUUCGUAGAAAUAAGAAAGUUGCGGUCUGGUGCUCCCAAGCUUGCCGAUCGAAGAUAGGGGGUUAGUCACCGAGUUCAUCGACCAUCGGCGGUGGAGAUACCCUGUUCCUUUCAUCGGCUUUCAUUUUUUACUGCUGCGUCUCCUCUUGGCAUCUUUGGUUUGUGAACGAAAUGAAGCAUUUGAUAGUGAUUUGUGAAAGAAAGGAACUCAUGUUCUUUAGUCUUGAAUUAGAUCAGUUUUUAAGAAUCAACACCACUGUGAUGACAUGCAAUUUUGUCUCAAAUUUCCCUUUUUGCUACUGAAUCAUGUCAAAAUCAUGCCUCACUUUCUGAUUGUAGUACUCUUUCUUGUAGUUAUUAUCACUACUUGAGCAACUUAUGGACGCUGAUCUUUCUUACGUGUAUGCAGCAUUUUGCAUUUGUCAUACCGAAAGAGAUUGAAUGCGAAGUUUCUUUCUCCCUCAACAUGAAGCCAUGAACUCAUGAGAACCGAGUACACUGUCUUGUUGUGAGAGUCAUCAAUUGCUACCACUUCUGUUGCGUCAUACUAGGAAGCUAGCUGCAGUCAAGAACAAUGAAAGAACUAUGAUAGAAAUGGGAUUCAAUCAGAGUGAGAAGAUGAGAUCACUUCAGCACCGUUCCUCAAAAUCAUCCAAGGAGAACGGUCUCCCCUCGAGUGAAACCAAGAAUGCUCAUGUGUUAGAGAAGGUUGGAACCCUUAAAACCGAAAGGCUUCGAAAGCCAUGGCCUAGUAGGAAUGCGACCGGGAUCGAAGGACCAAUUAAGAACAUGUCGAAUGUACCUUAUUAUCUUCAGCGCAAAGAAAAUGGAGAUAAUAUUCAUGAGAAGGCACUGAACUUUGGAGUACUGGAUUGGGGGCUUCUCGAGAGAUGGGCAUACCACCAAAGAAGUGUCACAGAUGUGGGUGGUGGAGACUCUGCAUCUAGUAGCACCAUGUCAUCAACAUUUUCUACAUUUGGUUCUUCAAACCAAUCUUGUAGAACCAUGUCUAGUUCUCGAGGGAAGAAAUCUCCUUCAGCGUUUCAUCGUAAGAAACCACCUGUUCUGGACAGUUCAAUUAAGAUGUCUGAGAAAGAAAGCUCUGCACAUACAAAUGGCUUUUGUGGUUCAAGAAUCUCUUCUUCUUCUUCUUCUUCUAAGUUUCCUGUCCAGCAUGAGAGACAUUCCGAUAGAGAUUUUUGUUUAAUCGUUGACCACAAACUUGGUACAGAUGACAAUAAAAAUUUGGAUUCACAAGCCAUUUCAAGUGAAGUAUGCGUAGCUCUGCAUUCUGCAACUUCGCCUUCAGGAUAUAAGAUCGAUGACUCUCCUGCAACAAAAGUGGUGGAGGACCAAAACAGUAGCUUGAUGAAAGCAGAAAUGCCACAGGACUACCCUCAUAGCCUACCCAUAGCCGAUGAUAUGCUAUGGUUAUCCCUGGAUCGGAGAGAAAGAUGGGAUUAUCUUCGACAGAGUGUGGACGGUGGAUGUCUUAAUUCUGAUUCCCCGUUAACUAGUGAUGGCUGGCUGGAUGAGAGGAAUGGCAACAAUUAUUCAGGCAGUUUAGCUGAAGAUGUUGAGAUCAUCCGACAGUAUCCUCAUGUUCCGCAUUCAUGUCCUCUCCCACGGACAAUUCUGAAAGAUGAACCUGAUAUAUCCUGCACUCUUCCGUCGGAAAGUUCAGGACCAACCGAUAAAUUAUUUCCUAGAGAUCCUUGCAAGCAACUUGAAGUUAACACAAUCCAAGAAUCUAGAAAAUAUGGGGCAAAAGCUAUGGCUGUGACAGGGAAGAAAUCAUCUGACCAUCCAACUAGUGUUGGUUUAAGCCGAAUGAGCAGAAGUUGUAGUUUGAAGGAUGGUUCAUCUGAAGAACAAUUCGAGACAAGUUCUUAUCUAUAUAAUUCACAGGGAGAUCAAGCAACCAGAAAUAACAAAAGCCGGCAAAGCCCACUGAGGAGGAUACUUGAUCCUCUAUUUAAGCCAAAGAACAAUCUUCGUUUGACUGGGAUAGCUGCAGCCUUACCGGGCCGCCAUUCCUGUGAACUAAGUAGAACCGUCAAAGCAUUCCAUGGAUUGCACAAGCCAUCAAAACCAAGUGUUGAUUCUACAUGCCAGCCUAGGAGAAGCAUGAACGCUUCAAAUAGAUUGUCCAUCAAUGGCAAAGGAAUACAUCAGGAUGAAAAGCAUAUGGCAUCAGUGAAGCAAGCAUUUCUUCAACUUGCUUGGGAAAAUGGAUAUCCUUCGUUUAUAAUCUCGUCUUGCGACAGUGAGGUACUGGCAGCGACGACGACAAUGACAAGUGUCAGCAAUGAUGAUGGCCUUGAGUGCAUAUAUAAGUUAUUCUCCAUUAAAGACUCUAAGAAGAAAAGCAUGUUCUGGAGCAACCCUGUAAGUAAGGGCAAGAAGCAUCAGCUGACCUCCAAUGUUGUUGGCCAGCUGAGGGUUUCACUUUGCAAGUUGAGGAGCUACCAGUAUGACAAUUCUCAUGUCGUGAGGGAGUUUAAUCUGUUUGGUGCUGAAUCCACACCAACAUCUCACAAACCUGUUGACAAUCCAAUUAAGAGCGAGCUGGCUGCCGUCGUCGUUAAUCUACCACUGGAAAGGCCAAAAAGUACAAAUGUUGGUGAUUUGCGCUGCAGUGAAUUCAGAAGUGCUCCGAACGAAGAGAAACGUUUGCAGACCGAUCGGCAUGAUGUUGCUGUAGAUCGAUCUGGUGUAUCUGUCAUACUUCCGAGUGGUGUUCAUGGAUUGUCAACCGAUGGUGAGCCCUCACCUCUGAUAGAAAGAUGGAGAUCAGGAGGAGCUUGUGAUUGUGGUGGUUGGGAUGAGGGUUGCAAGCUAACCAUUCUUAGCGACAAGCUCCAAGAGUGCACCUCUGGUUCAUUCCAAGAUCGUCAAACUACAGACCGUACUUACAGAUUUGAGCUAUUCAUUCAGGUAUAUCCACUUGGCCAGUCAUUUGUUCCUCUUUCCAAACAUACUCUCUGUUGUUUUUCUUGUAGCAUUGGUGUCGAUGUAGAUAAUGCUAAUAAUUAACCUCUUCUUCUAGGGUGGAUCUCAAGAAAAAAGACAUGCCUUCAGCAUGGUUUCUUUCGGAGAUGGGCAGUAUGCUGUCGAUUAUCUAUCUUCCAUUUCUCUGCUUCAGGCUUUUGCAAUCUGCAUAGCAAUCCAUCAUGGCAGGAAACCUGACAAUUCUUCAGCAGAACCAAAAAGCUUCCGGGAACAUGAUGUCUGUGGUCAGUCAGGGAGAGCUCUUAGAGCGCAAGGUGAUCAUGCUAGCUAUGUACCGAAUCAUCCCCCUCUUUCUCCCGUCGGAAGAGCUUAAUCGUCUCCAUGGUACAUUAUAGCCUGGGUCGUGGUACUUCUGAAGAUGUUUCUUCCCCAAUUAGCCUGUUCAUUGUGGUAGAGGUGAAAGGAGCACUACAAAGUUGCGUCCAUAGUCUAUACAGAAAACAAUAGCAGUCUCUAUCUUAUGUAUACCGCUUCUCAAUGUAAAGAAGCUCAGAUUUUCUCAGUAAUACAGAUGAGGAAGCUAUUUUAGCUCAGAAUUACAGUAUUAUUGUCAUUUAGCAUCCUAAUAUAUCGACUAUAUAACUAUAGAUGUUCUCCGAGUCUUGUUAUCGUCCAUAUAUUCGACUUUUUUUUAUCGAGGUAGUUUCUGAAAUGACUUAGAUUUUCUCAAAAUUCAAUUCAUUGCCACUCCCAGCAGAAAAUCUAAAAGUGUUUUCUGGUCAUGCCAGUGCACAUUUGUUGGGAUUCAUGUGCAAAAGGUUUCUUGUGGGUUUGGUUGUAUUGAUACUCUUGACAAGGAUGUCAUCAACAUAUGUUGUAUAAUCAUGCUGAAAGUUCUUAUUGACUAAUAUGUGGUAUAUGAAUCAGACAUUGAUUAGACCAAAUGCAAUAACUACAUAAUGAUAUGCAUCCCUCUCCUCUUUCCAAUUACAAAUAGGCUUUCUCUGUAACAAGACCAGGUUUAAGCUUCUUUGUUUGAUGGCAUCCAGAACUGAGUGGCUCUUUUGAGAUCACCCCAAAGAGAAGCAUGUUUGAUUCUUGGUUUCUAACUCAUAUCCUUGAUGUUGAAGCAACUCUUAGCACUCAGAUCAUCCCUUUUUCUUUCAUAACAGGAAAUGAAAUUGCCAUGAAUUCAAGUCAUAAUUUUUGUGCAUGACAGAAAAAUAUUGAGUUCUCAAUGAAUGAUCAGUGGAACCCAAACUUGUCACCCCAAUUUCUCAAUGAAUGGUGACAUUCUUUCCCUUUUUCUUCUCCUUUCUCCCUUUUGGAUAAAAUCACACCAGGCAUGAUAAUGAUCUGUUUUCCUCAUUGAAAAAGAAGGCUGCCAGAUGUUCUUCAUGAAAGUUAAUGUUGCAAAAGUGAUGGUGAUCAAGAUCAACAUUUCAUGUGGUAUGUGUGAUGACAAAUAAGAUAAUUGUUGAAGAAAUCCUGGGAUCUUUUUAAGAGUCUGCUCCAGUUCUGUAACUAAGAAAUAUACCACUCUCAAAAUAAGUAGAUUAUUCUAUGUUUGAAGGUUUUAAUGCUUAUCAUCAUAUACAUAUAUAAUCUGCCAUAAUAUAGAGCUCAUAAAAAAGAAUUAAGUGUCUUCUUCUUCUUUUUAUUGAUUCUUUUGAAAUGAAUCCUUGUGUAUUAACAGAGGAAAAUAAUUAUGAACAAAUCAACAAAAAAAAUUGUGGAAAUUUUCUUCAUCAAAGUCCUCAACUAAUUAUGUAUCAGCUCUCAACACAUCAAUAUACUUGUUGUGUAGAAGCAUGCAAGUAGCAAGAAACUUAGAACAAGUACUCGUGACCUUCGACAGUAAUCCAAAAACUUUUUGCAGGGCCAUCAUGCAGUGCAUCAAGUUCUUCUUCUUCUUCCAGUAAAUGCUCAGAGAACCUGUUGAAGCAUGAGUGAAACAAACACUUAUAAUUGAUGAUGCAUGUUCUCCCUAUCAACUUCCUCUGGAGAUGACUUCUCUUAGGGCAUCUGAUGCACAAGAAAGAAAAAUACACAUGAUGGCAAGUACCAGAGGAAAAAGACCGUUUAAUCAGUAGCAGAAAGAAUAGGAAGGCAUGCAUAGAUUCCUCAGAAGCAAUCUUACUCUCAGGCAGUCAGCAGCCUGCUCGAACCUACCUACGCAGGGAUUUCUCCAUGGAAGAACAAAGAGGGAAGUCCACUGAAGGACGGGCGGAUAGUAAAAGUGGCCGGAGGAGGUAUCCAAAAAGAUCGCAUGAUCCGAUUACUGUCAAUGAAGUAAACGUGCCUCAAGGGAUCAAUGCGAUCCCUUUGGAUGCUCCCUGCAGCCACAGUUUCUGCAAGUGAAACAAUUCAACUCCUCUCUCUCUCUAAGUAACCCAAGUCCCAGUUAGAGAAAGAAGACAAUGGGAGGCUCUCCUUGCAGUGUGGGAUACAUAUAGAGAGGAUGCACACCUCACUCUCUAGGCUCUCUUGUUUCUGAAUUGACCUAACAUGACUACAACAUUAGAAUGUCAUCAUGGUCAGGUGGAGUUUGUGAUGACCAAUGUAGGUUUGUUUUUUGUUUGGGGAUAUCUUUUCUGAUAAUUAGAAUUAGGACUCGAGUGUUAUCUUAACAUGACAAAUCAAGCAUAGAAAGCAAGUUAGAUUACAAUCAAGCAAGCUCUUUCUUGUUCACUUCAAUCACGUCACCAUUGAUUAGAUUCCCCACCAAGCUUACUACUUGUCUAACCAUUCUAUUCUCUAGAGUUCCAGUAGAGUUAAAAUAUGGAUUCUUUGAGUAGUGUGGUCCUUAACCUGUGUCCUAAGUAGCUGUUCUAGGCAUAAACUGGUGCUACCCGUGGCCUUGAUUUACUAGCUUUGUGCAGCAUAAGAAUCGUAUAAGAACAGUCCUAUCUAUCCCAUGUGUUCAGUGCACCGGUUCCUUUCAUGGUGCAUUUCUCGAUGAAAGAUCUCAUGAACAAGUUUCUUGCUGCUGUGACCAAGCUAUGCUUGUUCCUUGUCCAAAGACCGGAAGGAGAAUCUGUUGGGGAUGGAGUAGCAAACAAAAAUAUAAAAAAUAGAAUAUUAUGAUAUAAUUUUAAAAAAAUUUCAAUCAAAAAAAUCGAUAUAGUAUUUAAAUAAAGAUAAGACAUAGAAUACUUAUAAGAUAUUCCCAAGUACACACACUAUCUUGCUUCAUGAACUAUUGUCUUAUUUAUAAGACCUAGUGGUAACUAUUUUACUCUAUCAUGUCACCCAUAAUUAAGUUAGAUGUAGAAACUACUAUAUAACUUCUAGAUCAUGAGCCAUUACUUAUAAAAUGCCUACAACAUGGUAACUACCUAGAUAACUAUUGUGAAUCAAUUCUCAACACUCUCCCUUGAUUUAUAGUUACAUACACUGAUUUGAGAUAUGAAAUAAAUAUAUUUCUGAACUGAAAGCGACUUGUUGAGGAUAUUCGUAACUUGUUUAUGUGUUCCAUAAUACUUUAUUGCUAUGACUCUACUUGCUAUAAGAUCCUAGAUUAAAUGAUAGAGUAUCUCUAUAUGCUUCAUUCUUCCAUGAAAUAUUGGAUUCUUCAUCGUUGCAAUUGUGGUUUUGUUGUCACAAAAUAUUUCCGUUGCUUCUUUUUUUUUUUGAUGAAGAUCUUCAAGAAGUCUUCUAAGCUAUAUUGCUUAACAAGUUGCUGAUGUUAUGGCUAUAUAUUCUGCUUCUAAUAUCGAUAACGCAUUUGUUGCUUGCUUUUUUGAACUCGAAGAUAUAGCUCCUGAUCCGAGGCUAAAAAUAUUGCUUGAAGUACUCUUUCUAUCAUCUAAAGCUCUUGUCUAAUCACUAUUAGUGAAACCAAAUAAUCUAUAUUUAAAAUUAUAAGAAUACCAAAUACCAUAAUAUAUAGUUCGAGCAAUAUAACGUAGAAUUCUUUUAACAACUCCGAGGUGAUAUUUGCUUAGGCUAUACAUAAACUUGGAUACUACACCAACAAAUAUGGUAAUAUCUAAUCGAGUAUGAGUUAGAUAAAUCAAAUAUCUAACCAAACUUCUAUAGUAUCUUUCAUUUGUCAAACAUAUACCAUUUUCAAGUUUUAAUUUCUCGUUUAGUGUUGUCGUAACUUUAUAAUUAAUCAUGUUAGAUUUUUUGAGUAGAUCCAUUGCAUACUUUCUUUGUGAAAUAAAAUUUUCAUCUGAUCCUUGCUUCACUUCCAACCUAAUAAAAUAAUAUAGUAAACCUAGAUCUAACAUGUCAAACUUAUUCAUCAUGUAUUUUUUAAAUUCUACCGAGUUAGAUGAACCCAUAUAUAAUAUAAUCAAUAUAAAGGUGAUUAUGUUCACAUUUCUUCUUUAGAUAAAAAGUAGGUUUAUUAUUGCUAUUUUAAAAUCUAUUUUGAUAAAAAUAAUAAUUAAUUUUACUAUACCAUACCCUUGGAGCUUAAGCUCAUAAAAAGCUUUCUUUAGCUUAUACACCUUUUCUUCUAUUCCUUUAACCAAAAAACCUUCUGGUUGAAUAACAAAAAUCUCUUCGUAUAAAUUUUUAUUUAAAAACAUAGAUUUCAUAUCAAAUUGAUAAAUAUGACAACUUAAGUGAGCAAAAAAAAAUAUUUUCAAAAUCAAUACCUUACUAUUGUAAAUAUCCUUUUGCUACAAUUCAAGCCUUAUACUUUUAGAUACUUCCAUCUGCAUUAAACUUUGUUUUUAACACCCAUUUUAAUCUAAUAGCUUUCUUUUCUUUUGGUAGAUCUAUUAGCUCCCAAGUAUCAUUCUUCUCGAUUGACUUGAUUUUCUCCUUCAUUGCUUUUUGGCAUUCCCCUUUUUCAACUAUUUUCUCCAAAGUUAUAGGAUCUAAAAUAAACAAAGCAAAUGUUGAGUUAUAAAUUUCUGUUAGUGAUCUGAAUUUUUCUGGAGGGGUAUCAGAAUUUGAACUACUAUUACGUGAGGUUGAUGAUGAACUCAUUGGAGUCGGAUCUGUCACUUGAUUUUGUAGAGUGUUUAGUUCUGCUGGAAUAACUGAUAUACUUUAGAUUAUAAGGAAUAACUAAUUAAGAUAUAUUUUUUAGAUUUUUCAUUAAGCUUGUAUUAGUUUAUGAAUUUACCAAAGCAUAAGCAAUACAACAAAAAAUUCUUAGAUGCUUUACACUUUGUUUCAUACUAUACCAAGCCUCAAAAGGAGUUUGAUUCAUAAUAACCUUUGUUAGUAAAAUAUUUAAUAAAUAAACUACUAUUGCCACUGCUUUUGCCCAAAACUGAUUUAGAAGGUAUUUUUCUUUAAGCAAACUUCUUGUUAUUUCAACGAUAAUUUGAUUCUUAAGUUUAGCUAUAUUAUUUUGCUCCGGUGUAUAAGGUGUUGGGUUCUUUUUAACAUAUCAAAUAUGGAUUAAACAAUUGUUUUAUAGAAUCAAAACCUUCAUCUUUGAUUCAAAAACAUACUUUAUAGAUCCAAAAUAAUGGAUUAAGAAUGUUUCCAUAAAACUUAUUUAAUCCACUAUAAUAUGCAUGAAAUCCUACAACAAUUGAUAAACAUAUUAACACGGAAGCGUACCUGAUGAAUCCAUUAGAGUAUUUUCUGAAUUGAUCGGUGAUUUGGUCUUGCNNNNNNNNNNNNNNNNNNNNNNNNNNNNNNNNNNNNNNNNNNNNNNNNNNNNNNNNNNNNNNNNNNNNNNNNNNNNNNNNNNNNNNNNNNNNNNNNNNNNNNNNNNNNNNNNNNNNNNNNNNNNNNNNNNNNNNNNNNNNNNNNNNNNNNNNNNNNNNNNNNNNNNNNNNNNNNNNNNNNNNNNNNNNNNNNNNNNNNNNNNNNNNNNNNNNNNNNNNNNNNNNNNNNNNNNNNNNNNNNNNNNNNNNNNNNNNNNNNNNNNNNNNNNNNNNNNNNNNNNNNNNNNNNNNNNNNNNNNNNNNNNNNNNNNNNNNNNNNNNNNNNNNNNNNNNNNNNNNNNNNNNNNNNNNNNNNNNNNNNNNNNNNNNNNNNNNNNNNNNNNNNNNNNNNNNNNNNNNNNNNNNNNNNNNNNNNNNNNNNNNNNNNNNNNNNNNNNNNNNNNNNNNNNNNNNNNNNNNNNNNNNNNNNNNNNNNNNNNNNNNNNNNNNNNNNNNNNNNNNNNNNNNNNNNNNNNAACAUAAGGUACUAUCAAUUCUCUAUGAAUACUAUUUUCUUUAUAAAAAAAAUUAAACUCAUUAGAUAAAAAAUUAUUAUCUCUAUCUCAAAUGUCUUUAUGUAUCUACCACUUUACCUUUCUACAAGUGCAUUGAAUUUUUAAAAAUUAUCAAAUAUUUUAGAUUUCAGUUCUAGAAAAUAUAUCGAACUCAUGCGACUAUAAUCAUUAUUAAAUAAUAAAAAAUAUUGACUUUAACCAAAUAAUUUUGUAUUCAUAGGUCCACAUAAGUUAGCAUGAAUUAAUUCAAAACAAUUAGAUGCUCUUCAUAUUUUUCCCACAAGAAAUUAUUUUUUAUUUUAUUUACCAUAAAUACAUUCUUUGUAUACAUUAAGUGUAUUAAUUUUACGUAAUCCAAAAAUUAUUAUUUUUAUUUAAUAACCUUAAACUCUAAAUGUUAAGGUAUUCAUAUUUUAAAUGUCAUAAAUUAGACUCAUUCUUUUGAGUUGCUAUAAGAGCAUACUUUUCAAUAUUUGAAACAUCAAGUGGAAAUAUCUUGUUUUGCGUCAUGCAAACAUUUACUGUAGCUAAACCAGAUUUUUUUUUAUCUUUAAUAGUGCAUGAACCAUCAUCAAAUAUAAUUAAAUAUUCAUCAUCUAUCAAUUGUCCAAUACUCAAUAAGAUAUGUAAUAAACUAGGAACCAAGAAAAUAUUAUUAAGGUGUUUUACCUUCCUUUGACUUGUCUUCACCUCAAUUGUUCUUUUUCCUUUCACUUGGAUUUGCUUAUUAUCUCAGAGUCUAACUUUUAAUUUAUGAGUUUUAUUAAUAUAUCUAAAUAUUGAUCUUAUUCUUGACAUAUGAUUAGAAUAUUCAUUAUCCAAAAAUCAAAUAUCAUUUGAGAUAUCAUUAACUUGUGAAUUAGUUAUAAAUAACUUACUAUUUUCUUCAAUUUUUUUCCACAAAGCUUAUUUGUUUUUUUCUUUUCCAGCAAUCUAUCUUCGUGUGACCAAUUUUUUUAUAAUAGUGAUAUUGAAUUCCACUUUUAUAGUUUUUUUUUAUCAUAAUUUGAUUGAUUUUGUUCAUUAUGCCCAUUAAAGUGUUCUCUUCCUCUUUCUCUUUCAUUUCCUCUGCUAUUAAAUCCUCCUUUGUCACGCCAUCUACUUAUUGAUUUUUUGCCUUCUUUUUCUCCCUUAACCUAAAAUGCUUUUUUUUCACUUUUCUCAAUUGACUUGUUCAGUCUUGCUUCAUGUGCUUAAAAAGAAUCUAUUAGUUCAUCAAAUGAAAAUAUAGAUAAUUUUUUUGACUCAUCGAUUGCGGCAACAACAUGAUUAAAUUUCAAAAUUAAACUUCUCAAAACUUUUGUAAUAAUUAUAUGAUCAGGAAGAAGUUCGCCAUAAUAUUUCAUUUGACUAAUAAUUUCAAUCACUCGAGAAAAAAAUUUUGUAUCGAUUCAUUAUUUUUCAUGAAUAAAAUUUAAAACUCACGAUGAAGGGUCUGAAGUUUUACCAUAAUCACCCUUGAUGAGCCUUGAAAUUCAUUUUGAAAUAUCAACCAAACUUAUUUUAAGGUUGUCGCUGUUACAAUUCUUGAGAAAAUUGUCUUAUGUACAACUUGUUGAAUGAAGAACAAUGUCUUUGAGUCAUUCUUUCUAUUUUUCUUCAACUUGGUUUCUUCAUCUGGAUCUACAUAUCCAUUCUCUAUUAAGUCCCAAAGAUCUUGAGACUUGAAUAGAGUCUUCAUCUUGAUACUCCAAAAUUCAUAGUAUUUGUCCGAAAAGAUGAAAAUACAAGGUUACAACAUGGAAUUAUCAUUGAAAGCCAUAAUGCCCAGUUCAUAUUGAAACUUAGCUCUGAUACCACAAAUGUUAAGGAUGAAAUAGUAAGGAAACGAUAAAAAAUAGAAUACUAUGAUGUAAUUAAAAAAAUUCUUUCAAUCCAGAAAAUCGAUAUAGUAUUUAAACAAGAGAUGAGACAUAGAAUACUUAUAAGAUAUUUCCAAGUGCACAUACACUAUCUUGUUUCAUGAACUAUGAUCAUAUUUAUAGGAUCUAGUGGUAACUACCUCACUCCAUCAUGUCACCCAUGAUUAAGUUACGUAUAGGAACUAUCUUAUAAUGUCACCCAUGAUUAAGGAUGGAAUAGCAAAGAAACGAUAAAAAAUAGAAUACUAUGAUGCAAUUAAAAAAAAUACUUUCAAUCUAGAAAAUCGAUAUAGUAUUUAAACAAGAGAUAAAACAUAGAACACUUAUAAGAUAUUUCCAAGUGCACAUAUACUAUCUUGUUUCAUGAACUAUGAUCAUAUUUAUAGGAUCUAGUGAUAACUAUCUCACUCCAUUAUGUCACCCAUGAUUAAGUUACGUAUAGGAACUAUCUUAUAAUGUCACCCAUGAUUAAGUUAUGUAUAAGAACUAUCUUAUAACUUUUAGAUCAUAGAUCAUUAUUUAAAAUAUAAUAAUUAUAUAAAAUAUGAUAACUAUCUACGUAUAACUAUCAUAACUCAGCAGGGCGCAUGAGAAAGGAACAUCCAAUCUGGCAGCAGGUUUACUAAACUUUGUCGGAGUAGGAGCAGAAUAUAGGGUGGUGGCGUUGGGUGUGGGAGAGAGGUGAUGUGAAGUGGAGGAUUCAUGGUACACUCAGUCAUCCCAUCAAGAGGGCCACAUCCGUCAGGCAGUGGUUCUACCUUUAGUGAACAUAAGAUAUGUCACCCAACUUUGUCAGCGCCAGCAGUAUCUUCUUCCUCAGACCGGAGAGUACCGCUGCCAUGCCAUGUUUUCGCUUCUCCACGAGGUCGAGGAUCCACCGCUUCCUUAUCCUUGCCUCACAUGUCGAGCAUCCAUAUGUGCUUGCCAGAAGACCGUGAGGUGUCGCUCCCAGAUGCCCAAACUAGUAGUGGGCUUUUUGCCAUUAUUUUGCAGGACCAUCAUCAGUCACCAUGACCGCCUCCUCUCUUCCAACACCAUACUUGCGAUGCCAGUAAAUGGAGUUACGGGGACAGCCGUAAACCACGGAGAAAGGGACUCCUCCCGUGCGUCGUUGAUGCUUCUGCUCCAAUGACUUCGUUCCCACUCAAUACUGCAUGGCCCACACGCCCAUGGAUGCUCUCGCAAUUUGACUCGAGGGCAUCUCUUUCGCCAUGGAUGCUCUCAUCCCUGCACGAAAGAGGCAAGAAAACGAGAGCGCACUGAAAGACAAGGCUUGCAGGAUGCUUUUUAGAUUACCAUUUCCGCUUCAACAAGGUCGAGCCGUGCACUCCAUCCACAUUACCCCCCACUGCUUGUCCACACACACUCUCAUGGACGACGACCCUUCCAUCCUGUCUCAUGACAUUGAUGUAAUUUUUAUUUAUUAUUUAUCAUUAUAAACUAUAUAUAUAUAUUCUGAAAUAGACUAAGUAUCACCGGGCGACGAGACGAGGAAGAAAUGGAAGGAAUCGGCGAACCCAUGUCUCCAGAUAGACCGACCUGCCGGCCCAUGUUAAUAUAGCUGGGCCGGAUGAACUAAUGUGAUCCAACCCACCAACCGUAAUCUAAUCGAUCGAUGGUUGACUUUUGGAAGGUUGAAACGCGUCGGUUAUAUCCAGAAUGGAUUACGUUACAUGCAACACUUUAUUUCUCUUUACAGUUGAAGCAGCAGUUGGUCCUCACUCUUCCUUCUUCGUUUCCUCUGUCUCAGAAGAUAAACUCUUCUCGUAGAUGAACUGAGCGACUAAGCCCGCAAAUAUCAAGCCCAGCGCAGCGACUUUUCGCCAUUCCACCUCCGGAGUGACGACGACAGCGUUGGCAAUGGUGAAGCCCAGCACGGUCAUCAGCGCAAGGUAUAUGUUGCUUCGCACCUUCAAACCUGCGUUUCUCCUCGUGGCUUCCUCCAGCUUUUGCGCUUCCAUCUUGGCUUUCAUCUUCGCUCCCGCUUCCUUGUCUUUGGGUGCAGGUCGUUUCUCCUUCAGGUUCUUGAAGAACAAGCCCUCGUUCCGGUCCCUCUCGAUUUGGUCUUCGAACUCCUCCAACACCCGGUCGUUCUUCUCGAUCUCCUGCCUGUUCACCUCCGCGGCUUCCUCGAACGCCUGCGCCCGGUUCUCCAGCUUCUCCAUGAUCUGUACAUGCGAAGAGCAGGUGUUAUUUCCCGAAGUGGUCGCCAAGGCUUGAGAGAGAGAGAGAGAGAGAGAGACCCUGGCGCUGGCUUCGUCGAGCUCUUUGAGUGCGUUCUCCCCUAUCUGGUCGAACUCGGCGUUGGCGUCCUCCGCGAACUGGGUGAGGAACGCGGACCGCUCGUCGAGGAAGUCGGUGAGGCGGACUUUUUGGGCCUGCAGCAUGGCGAUCCGGGCGAGCAGUUCCUGCUUUCGCUUGUCGCCUUCGGACGGGGAAGAGGAAUCGGCACGGCCGGCGUCGUUGGAGCUGCAGAAACUGGAGACCGAUCUCCGCCUGUUGCGUGACGUCUUCCUCUGGGCAGGAGAUGGGUUUGGGCGAUGGAGGGAUGGUUGGAUCGCCUUGAGGAUACUCAUGAUCUCUCAAUACAAUCUCGAUCGGGUUUCUGGGAUUGUCCGCCUCCCGUUUCGGCUCAGGAAACAAUAUCUACUGUAUUAUUUGGGAAAGUCCACGAAUUAAGAUGACCGUUUUACCCCCUUCUCCUAACAUGGUUUAUCCUUCAUCAAGAGCAUUAUCGCAUCCAAGCCGUCCAUUGAUGAUAUGUCUAUGGAGCAAUCAACCGUCCAUCCGAGUUUGAUGGUAACUUCGUUAUUUUUGCAACUAAGAUUCGCGAUGGCAUAGGAAUAUUUCUAGGGAAUAUAUAGGGGUAAUAUGGGACAUUUUCCCUUCCAUUGGAUAUAUUGAUCAAAUUAAACCUGUCUAAUUUUGCGCCCGAAUUUAUUGUGAAUAGAACCGUCUGAUUUGGUUUCUGAUGUAUGAAGCGCGUCCUCUUUGCUCCGGCCUCCAUCCGUCCCGGCCAAUCCAUCCCCCAUCGAAUGGACUCCCCGCGGCGUCCCCUCCUCCGUCAUCGACGAGCACCUCGAGAACGUCUUCCGGCGUGGGUGAGUGUCUCAUGUUUUCCAUUACUACCGUUGCUUCUCCUGUGUUGCACACCAACUGCUUGCUCUUUUGUCUGAACAACCUUGAUGUUAACCUUAGGGUGUAGCUGCUUGUGUUGGCUCAACUUAGCAAUCGGUCAUUCUCCUAGAAAGGACUUCCGAUUUACCAAGCUAGAUAUUUUUUCUGCACAGUGGGUGCUUGUUGUUGUGCCUCCUGCCAUAAUUACCUCUUGUCUUGAUGCUUCAAACUACACCAUCAUUGCCACCAUAAACUCCUAUUGCACCUUCUCACACAAUUCUUAGGAUUUAUUGGAUGCCUAUUUCCCUGGCACUAUGAACUCCUAUUGCACCGACUGUAGAUGUUGCUCUUGUUAAUUUGGUGUUCGAGGACACAACUUUAUGCCGUGGUUCUUUUGAUGGUUGGUGAGCCAACUUUUGUGUUAGCUGCUCAUAGUGCUUGACCAGUGAGACACCGCCCGUGCUCUACUUGUGCUUCUUUUGCGAUCGUUCGCAAGAACAAAUGCAAGCAAUGCGUUUUAUGCAUCAUAAUGGAAGAAAAAUGUUGGCUCAACAUCUACAGUCCUGCUACUCCCUCUUACCUAUCAACAAGCCAGCAGUUUAGCUGCAUUUUCCUACCUCUUCAUGUCUCUAUAUCUCUCUCCACUGUCAGGUCCUCAACAACAUAUUUGCUGCUUUGUCUUACAUCUUCUCUUGAUUCUUGCUCGCAGUGCUUUGGCUGUAGAAUUUUGCAUGCAGGACAUUGAUAAGUGACUUAAUUUUAGUUCUUAUUUUACUUUGUUGGUUUUCUUCUCACCAGUCUUGUGUUUUAGGUGUUGUCUUUGUUCUGCAUUUACUCUCAAUAUGGCUACUUUGUUAUAUGUUUCAUUAAUGCAUGUUCUCAAUCAUGUGAAGAACAUAAAUGCAACUUGUUCCUAGAAGAAUUCGUCUGGUUUAUGAAUAUUGGAUGGUAAAGACUGGUCCAUGAGUGUAAAUAGCGGAGUUAAUACUAUGGUUUCAACUCCGGUAAUCGAAUUCCUCGUUCAUUGAGUUACUUCUUUUUCUCGUCCAAAUUUGUCCUUAGAUCAUCCUUACAAAUAUUUUGUAUGUUUGUAAGUCUCGAUACUGAUUCCAUCAACAUAAUAUAAGAGCAUAGACUUCCUUACAAGAGCCAAACUCCCCCAGCAAGGAAGAGGACCAACUUAAAGACAGAAGAAUCAUCAUAGGUAGAAAUCGGAGAUAGAAAUGCAUCAGUAGCUGCAACCUUUAUCUUUGCGGCGAGACUGGCAAUGGAGGUCACGCGUUCUGGGCCUUCUCCUUGGUCUCCUCCUUCUUGGAGGGCACUCGGCCAUCGGUCCCGGCGAGCAGCACGUACUUGUCCUUCCUGGUGAAGUUGGUGCCCUGGAAGCCCAGCGUGAUCGCCAGCACACGCUGUAUGUAAUUGGCGACCUCGAUGGGCGACUUCCCACCGGCGCAGGUGAGCUCCUUGGGCAGCUGGUUGAGGAAGGUGAUCUCGUAGGUGGGCCGCGGGUUCAUGAAGAAGAAGUAGGGGUCGAAGAGCUUCCACCCCCUGGCGGUCGUCCCGUGGAACAUGCUCUGCUUGGUGUUGAUGGCCACGGGGACGAUCCGGUCCGUGAGCUCCGCGAACAUGGCGCUGAACCUGAGGAGGAAGGGCUCCCGGCAGGUGGUGCCCUCGGGGCAGAUCACCAGGUCGCCUUCCUCCAGUAGGCGUUUGAUGUGCGCCGCGUCCUUGUCCCUCUCCCGCGACAGCGCCACGGCGUUGAUGGGGGAGAUGAGCUCGGAGAACUUGCUGAUGCUGUAGGUGACGCAGCUGAUCUUGCGGCGGAGGGCGACGGCGGUGACGACCGGGUCGAGCACGGUGCGAUGGUUGCACACGAAGAGCACGCCGGGGUGGCCCUUCUUGGGUGGCGGCGGGGGCGCGCCCUUCACCACCAGCUUGAUGCCCAUGAUCCUGUAGUUGUGGAACACGAUGCGCUCCGGCAGCGGGAGGUUGAUGUACACCCUGAGGAGCGAGAGGGCGAAGCCCAAGGGUAUCCAGAGGAAGGUGACGAGCGCCACCAGGGGGGUCGGCAGCUGAACCAAGCGGCCGUCGUGGAGAAUGACCCGGUUCAGGAGCUGGCUCUUGGGCACCGGGCUCCAUUUUGCAUGCGGCACAACGUAAGCUUCCUGAAGCCAAUCGGAAAGCAGAUGCUGUUAUCAAUGGCUCCCAUCCCCAUCCGUUUGCACAGGAAAGAGGAAGAAAGAAAGAAGGCGGCGGCAUACACCGCAGACCACGAUAAUUGUAGAUAUAUGUGAUGCUCAAUUUUGGAGUAGAUCAGUUCAGUCACUAGAUCCAUUGAAGUAGGUCAGUUUUGGGUUCAAACCUUGCAAAUGGACAUGAAAUCGUAGUCAGUCUCUCUGUCGCCGAUGCCCACGUCCGGCGAACUCCCUCCAAACUCCUCCUCCACCGCCUUCUUCUUCAGCUGUCCGAUGAGCACCCCGGGCUUCUUGAGGAACCCCGUUGCCCUCCCUGACGCGGUCACCUCCAACUCAGUCCCCAGGACCUUGUCGGCCCCGAGGAAGCUCUUGGUGAACGGUUCCACCAUGAUCCUGGGGUUCGCCGUCACAAUGUAUCUCCGACCGAACGAACCGAACACCCGCCACGUCUCGGGGUGCACGUCCUCAGCGUAGAACCUGGGCAACACCGAGCGCGCCACCAUCUCGAUAUCCUUCACCCUCAACCUCGCGAAGGCGAUGAACACCAGCGCCUGUAUGGCCACUGACUCCGAGAAGAAGACGUAGAUGGUGUAGACGACGGGGACCGACAUGAGGAGGACGAGGCCCCGCAGGAGGCUCCCUGCCUCGAUCGCGACGAGCAUGAAGUAAGGGAAGGCGCUGCGGGAGAUGAGGAGAGUGCCGUCGAGAUCAGCCGCCACCGCCUGAUGCGACCGUUCUUCCGAGCUACACUUGUCGAUGGACUUGAACCUAAGCGACCCCAUCUGUGGAGCUGUUGAUGGUGGUGGUGGUGGCGGUGGCCACGGAAGGGCAGGAUUCACUUGGUUAAAUCACCAAGGACUCGAAGGAAUAUAAAUGGGCGUGCAGUGGGUGGCACCGCGAGCUAACUUGAGAAGCUACUUAUUCUACUAAUUUAUGCAUGGAGAAGGGACGUUCACAACAGCCAAUUGCUUGUGAUCGAUCGACCUUUGCUUGACCAAGUUUGAAGCCUGGAUCGGGUAGAUGUCAACGUCAGUCUUCUUGGCUGUCACCACCGCUCUGGUUUUCUACCUCACAUUAGCAUUCGACUAUUAGUAGUAUAAGCCGAUCCUCCUCCGCAGCAUUAACUUGGAGCCACCGAACCCACGAGAAUAAGGAAGUAAAAGCAGCAGCAGCAGCGGCAUGCAGUCUCCUGCAAGAAGGAUUCGUUAGCUGGUGGUAGCGCAUUUUUGCGAUCGCCAUUAAUGGAGUGAAGCAAUUAGUUGACGGCGUGUUAUUAUUAUCACAUGCAGCCUUCCCCAUGCCGGUGAUCGAACCAGUCAUAGCAAUGGUAGAGCUUUUUCACGUUGACACACGUCUGAUCCAUCCUUUUAUUGUCCUACCUAGAAAAGUGGACUGUUUUAUGCCCACUGAUAUCCUUCAUGGAUGCUCAAAUCUUUACUCUGAUUCAUCGUCUGCAGUAAACCAUCUUUGACACAGUAGCCCCUCGUCACCUUCGUUAGGCGAGGAAGCUCCAGAUACCCUAAUCGAUGCUCUCAAAAACAAACGGACGAGAAGGGGACGGCAGGUGAUGUCCACCUCGUGAUGCUCCAAAGUGGCCAACACUUAUCCGAUCUACUUCACCGUCGAUGCAAGCAUGGCUUUCGCAUGUGUCUCUGCCUAACUUCUCUGCAUUAGUGACCUCACACAUUGAUGAGGCAUCUCCAACUCCGACCUCACACGGCAUUAAACGGACCUGAAAGAAGAGUCCUUCGACUAAGUGUCACUGUUUUAAUUCUACCUAUAUUACCAUGCAAGCAAUUAAAUGCUACCUAUAUCUGCAUGCUAUUGACUGCUCGUCUUGGGUUCUAAACCCAAUCACCGAGCCUCGCUUUGAGCGGCACAAACAAGUUCUCAUGUGCCCAGUGAACUCAUUUCACGGCCACUGGUCCCGCACUUCCUCAGUUCUUAGCUCAGAUCGUCGUCUAAGGAGAGGUGACGACACGUUUCUAAGACAAUGAUUUCUUUCUUUCCGAAGAAGUCUUAUUUGAGCUGCGAGUGUAUCUGAAAACGAUCCUUGGCCGAAAUCUAAUCGUCUGCAAACUGAUUCGAACAAAAGCCUGAUUCUGUAAAGAAGAGUUUGCAGACUUCAGAACUCAGUAAGCCGAGUGAGAGCUCCGAUUCGCGUUAGGAUAAAAGUAAAUGAAAAAGCAUUCUGAUUAAGGAGUCGAAGCAUCAAAAGUUGUCCUAAUAAAGAUGUAUUCCCGACCUUCGUACGGGUUUGACUGGGAAAGCCAUUCCGAGAUAUAAUCGUGAAGAGUCAGCGAAGACGAACAGAAAAGAAAGCAUCGAAAGAAUGACUGCAAUAAGAUGAAAGUACGAAUCUUUCUUCCUUCAUCGGUUGCAAGUAUCGUAGCGGAAAGGCUUUCUAUAGCCUUUUCCAUGAAUCAAAUGCUACCACACGGCAGCCUACGUGCAGAGAUACCAAGUCAAGCCUCGUCGACGUGCUCGCAACAUCCGUCUGCAUGUGCAUGGGGGACGAGAGACUCGCUCAAAAGUAGAAAUAAGGACAUGAGUAUGAGGGCAACUCGGUGGCCAUCGACAACACGUAUGUGGCUUUCUCUAUCGAUUCAAUGAACAGGAAAUUUUCGACAUCUAAAUCCCAUUUAGCCACUGCACUGCAGUUGGAACGAAGCAGAAACUCUAGGCUUCCUUUCUUUGUGCUCUUGUUUGUCUCUUGCAUUGGGAAUACAAAUUAGCUUGAAAUCAGUAUCUUUCGUUUGUUUUGACCAUUAGCUGGGAUGCAUUGAAAAAGCUCAUGGUUUUGUUAUUUGAGUCAUCAAACGUUGUUUGUUAUUUGAAACUCGUUGAUAUAAAUGAAGUGAUUUUUAUUUCAGGAAUUUUUUGUGCAAUUAUUACUUGAAGAAGUUAAUGGUAUCACUCAAAUGUUGUGGAAGAGAUUUAUGUAAUCCUCUAUUCGGCUUUCAAUAGCAACAAUAAGAAUACAAACUAGCGUAACCUCAUGCGUAAGGUAGACGAUGGCCAACGAAAUGGGUACGAUAGUCCAUGUGAUUUCGCUAGGACCACAAGAAUCACUAUAUUUGAAGAAUCACAAAAGAUAAGUGAUGAAGGUAGGAUAAAUAUGUUCAUUUUUUAUUUGAUGAAAAUGCUACGACUUACGUAUAUAUAGAACCACAUAAUUGUUUAGUCUAUUUGUUUUAUAUAUAUAUAUANNNNNNNNNNNNNNNNNNNNUUUUUUUUUGAUAAAAAAAAUACGACAUAUAUAUAUAUAUAUACACAUAUAUAUUUAUUUUUUUUUUUUAUAUAUAUAUAUAUAUAUAUAUAUAUAUAUAUAUAUAUAUAUAUAUAUAUAUAUAUAUAUAUAUAUAUAUAUAUAUAUAUAUAUAUAUAUAUAUUGUGUUGCUUGUGAUUUUUUUAAAUUUUUUUGUGUCGGUUGGUGGUAUGUGACGUGUGUUCAUGUUUCUAUUUUUUUUUUCUUUGUGUUAAUUCUUAAUGGAUCGCACGAGGUCAAUGUCUAUGUUAACUAGCGAGUAUGCUUGAGUGUCACCUUAGAUAAUCUCAUCUAAGAAGGUGAGCUUUGCAUCACUAUUAGGUCAUCAAAUUUAUUGCUUGGGUCGGGCAUAAACUCUCGACUAUCUCGUAAAACAUAUGCGAGCCUUAAAAUUAUCUACUAAGUCCUAAUAAGAGGUUAGUGAUUCUCGAUAGACUAAACUAUUAUCCUCUUCUUCUCAAUUCUCUCUCUCUCAUUAGUCUCUUGCCUCUCUUCUUUACACUCGUUCAUUGAAAGCUAGCUUAAGCAUCAGAGAGAACCUUAUGAUCGUAAUUUGCUUGAUGAUGUCUCUUUAGGUCUUAUCAUACAUUGUAGCGAAGACCACAAUUAGUAAUAAUUAAAUACGUUGAUCAAUUGAGAGUUUACCUAGCUUUUCCCAUUCUAAAAUGGGGAUUUUAGGAUUCAAGAUAGUGUAACUUUGAUGCUUAAAGAAUAAAAUUAAAGGAAAUCUAGGAUAUAAUUAUCUUUAGGACAAAAUAAUUAUUAUGCUCAAAUCAGCAUCUUAAUUUGAUACAAAAAGAAAGCUUUGUGCUCAUCAAAUGGGUGAGCACAGAAAGCAAAAGUGAGCAAAAAAGAAAGCUAGCAAGUAUGACACAUGUGGAAAACAAUGAUAUGGCUUUCAAGUUAUUUGUUGCAACCUUUGCUAUGUCAUCAACCAAGAAUUAUUACAAGCAUAGAGAACCUAUUGAUGAUCACACAAUCCAUAAAAUACAGGUGACUAUGAGAAUACUAUAUUAGUAUUAAUGCUAUCUAUAUAUAUGCAGCCAAGAAUUAGUUUUAAUGAUCAGAAAAUAUUUGGUCAAUGGUCUUCUUCACAUCUGCAAUGUUGACUCUCUUCCCAUGAACCUCUUUCACCUGAAAGGGCACAGAUGUAAGGAGAUAUCAGUCAACUAAAUCAGAUGCAUAGAAGAAUUGGCACUAUCAGUGUCUCUCAUGGUCUACAUAGGUCAAGAGUUCCCAAAGCAAUAUGUAAUAUCCAACAUUUCUCAUGAAACUAAAAGAAAACAGCUGAUAAAAAUUUUAGGAAAAAAAGAAUAAUAAUGAUUGAAAGAAUAAUAAAUUUCUCAUUGUGGAAUCAAAGUCAACGAGUAAGGUAAUAGGUCAUAUGGUGAGAUAAAAAAUGGAAAAAACCACUCUAAUUCUGACUCAUCAUACUUAAUUCCCAAGAAAAGAUUAUUUCGACUAUUGACUAAUUUGAGUUGACUCUAGUAGUACUCACUUUUAUUGUUCUACUUUGUUUCUGUGGGUUAAUUAUAGAUUAUUAUCUAUAAUUAACUAAUUUUAGCAUCUCGAUAUUUAUAUUUUUAAAAAUUACAUUGCGAUACAUAUCUAUACAUUAUAAAAGUGAAACAUUUAACUUUGUUGCUCUAACAAAAUCUUUUAUUUUUAACCUAAUAAAAUUAUUUUUUUAAUCUUGUAUAGGGAUUUUAAUGUUUCAUUUUCAUAAAUAUAGGAAUCCUAAUGUAAUUUUUGAAAACAUAAAAAUUAGAUAUGGAUCCUAACGUAAAAUAUAUGCCAAACUUGGUAUUACCUUAGCACGUAACUCUGCAUUGCAGACGGCAUUGCUGGCGGAGAAGUGCACGGAAGAGACCUCCAAUCCCAGCUCAUGAAGCCCCUGCAAAACCUUCAGCAGUAGCCCGUCUCUGUGAGUGCACUGUAGCUCCAGGAGAGCAUCUUCUUCUACUACGGACGCAUGCACGCCCACUCCGUUGCUUCCCUCGAGCCCUUGUAGCUUCCUCUUGUCCACCGCAUGGUUGUCCAGUUUGUAGUUGACCGCGUAAUCUGGCUUGUCAACCUCCAUUGCUUUCAGCCUCCGAUCGCUUUGCCGGUUUCUUGCCUCAAGAUCUUGAAUCCGUUUUCUGAGUUGCUUCACGUACUCGAUUGUGUCGCCAAGUAUUGAAGCCUUGUCCAUCUGCAACUCCUCAGCUCGGACAUAUGAGCUUUAGAUGAUCUAAGAUCAAAGGCAUACGUAGAAGAAGAAGGAGAAGUGGGAGGCGUGCAUGCCUUGGUCACAAAUGGAACUAAUGAACGGAGGAUCAUAAACCUCUCGUUGAGCUUCUCUCUCCUGCGGCGUUCAGCGAGAACAUGGUUGGCACUGAUUUCUUCUUGUGCCGCGCCCUUCUGGAACCUGUUUCCGCCCUCUCCAUCCGUCGACUUGGGUGAGCUGCCGUCGCUCAACUUGCAAUGUAGAUCGCGAAUGUUGAGCACGACACUCUUCAGCAACCACUGCGAAAUACAGCUCCCUCGUGAGCACACCGGAAGACGAUCUCUUUCGGAACUCCAUCUGGAGAAGGCUGACUUCUGCGAUUGAAUCACGUCACCGAAGGGGCUCGAGCCCACCCAUCGCUUCAGGUUGUGUCGUAGCACACUGGACACCGUCUCAGAGUAGUGGGCAUCUUCUGGCGAUAAAUCUUGCUCCUGAGUUCCUACAGGACAAUCUGCAAGUGUGAGUUCCACGUUAACAGCCAGCUGUCCGAGCUUUGGAGUCUGCAGGGAUACCUAAUGGCUGUUGAAACCCAUUGCCAAGAUCUUCAAGAAGACAAUUCCAGUUUUUACAGAUAGAUUGCGCUGCGGGCAUCUGUUCUGGGUCCAGGUUAUUGGAACAAUCGCUGAUGGAGCCUACUCUGAUGUCUUCCGACAUCUCAAGCUGCAUCAACUCGCUUGCUUCAGCCGCUGGAAUCGUCUCCGCCGCCGCCACCGUCAGACCAGGAGGCACAGAAACAUCAACGCUGUACUUCAUCGCUCCGAGUUCCGAUCGGGAGCUGCCUUCUAUCUCGUCGCCCUCAUCGUUGUCCUCCUCGUCAUCAUGAGCAGCAUCCUCUUCUCGGUUGGAAGCGUGUAUGUCCAUGUUCAUCUGUUGCAUCAUCGCUGGUUGCUGAUACAGUGGAUGAUGAUGGUCUGCCCUCGCAAAAGGAUUAGAAGUCGAGUGCUCUGAGAGGGCAGGCUUGGUAUGUGCAUCGAAAUAGUCCAUGAAGUGUCUCUUUGCACGUUGUAUCAACGCCAUAUCUUCCUCAACCUAUCCGAGAAUUAUAUCAAACUGUAGCUCAAACAUUACAGUGAAGAAUCGAGGACAACUCACGAGUUUGUCUUUGCUUAAUGGCUACAAGAAUGAAGAUGUACAUACUGACCUUUUCUAUGUUACCUAAUUCGAGGACUCCAUCCACGAGAGGGAUGCACGCGACUGUCUGCGACAUCGAGAAAAGAAAUCAAUUGUAAUCUCUACUCACAUCUUUUCUCAUGAUUUAUCGAUUUCACGUGAAACAAGAGAAAGAAAUGAAACCUGAAUAUGAGCACUCUGUUGGUUUUAUGGAGUCCAUGAAUCAUAACGAAAAGAAAAGGUUAGUAUUAUCUCAAUCAUAAAAUCCUCACACAACAUAUAUAUUUAUAUAUGCACAUCCUUGUUAAUGUCGGGAAGGUUUGUUAGGUUCUGUGGAAGAUGACGAAGAGACUACAGACAAGUAGUACCUUUGCGAGAAUGGCCCUCGAGAAGACCUUGCUAUCAACCUCGUUUGCCCUUGUGAGCCAAACAUGUCGCUGCCUUGCAAAUGCCUUCCCUGGUAACCUAAAACAUCGUUGAAUUAUACUGAGCUAAGAAUAAUACUUCGAUACAAGGGAGUUGGAGACAAUUUGAGAGGAUUAAUUAAGCAUUAAUCUUUGUUCAUUAUGAUUCUACUAUAUAUACCAACUACUAAUCCAGUAUUGUUGGUAGAGAGGGGGGGGGGGGGGGGUGAUGGAUGGCAUGGUACCCGACGCCAGGAGGGAAGGAGAAGGAAAUGCACAUGAGGUAGAACCAUUCAGCCUCGGUGAGAUCCUCCGGCGAGAGUGCAGCACAAGGUCGCCGUGCCGGGAGGUUGGCCUCUCCCGACGAGAGCGACUCGUAGAGCUCCCUGAGCUGCUGACUCCUCUGGAGGGAGGCCUCCUCCGUGCUCACCUCCACUGGCUGCACCGUCUUCCUCGUCUUUAUCGAUCCAUUGUAGUACCCAUCUCCCCACACCAGAAUUCUUUCGCAAGGCAUGAGAAAAAGCAGAAUUAGGAGGAGGAAGAAGGCGGUGGGACCGUUCACAAUGCUGUGUUCUCACCCUUGUUGAGGACAGGGCUGCCAGAAGAGGCUAUAUGUCCACCGAACGCUCUGCACCACCGCCUGCAGCGUUUGCUGAAGACUGGUGCUCGGUGGGGUAACCAUGACUCCCUCCGCAGCAGGAGGACGAUGCUUGCCACCAAGACAGAGAGAGAGAGAGAGACGAGGCGGAGUCGUUGAAAGAUACAGUGGAGGAGAGAGGACUUCUUGGUGGUGGAAUCGACGUAGGCAAAGUUAGCGAUGGAUUGGCAAGGCAUUUAACUGGUGAUAUGGGGAUGGCUUUUGACCGGUGGUUCUACCAGCCGGUUCUCACCUGCUUCGUUCAGCAAUGACCACGUGGUGGACAGCGUACUGCUCUUGUCGACUCCACCUUAACUACGUCGGUCUUCCGUAAAUAUGUCGCCUCCACUCCAUCUCCUCAAACGACAGUUGACUACUCUUUUCAUAAUUAUAAUUAUAAUUAUAAUUAUAUAUAAUUCUAAAAUUAAAUUAUUUGAUAUAUAUAUAUUUUAAAAAUAGAUAUUUUAAUUGUGUAAUAUAACUAAAGAAACAGCUUGAUAAUGAAGUGACUUCAUCCUCCAAGACAAAGAAACUAUCUCUAACAGCAUGCUCGAGUGGGGAAAGCCACUGCAUGGGAACAAAUAGUCAACACUCAUUUAAUCCCUAACAAAAUAUGGUCAACACAUCAGGCCCAGUUACAUAAUUAGUAUGACCUACCCGGAUCCGACCCAAUUCCCUCUUUAAUCGAAUCGGAUCUUAUGGGAUGUUGAGGCCUUCAGUUAUUUAAAUCCAAAUCGAGGAUCUCAGCAUUAUUUUCCUAAUAUAAACUAAGAUUAAUCCAAAUUUUGAGAGCUGAUGUCGCAUGCUAUAUAUACACUUGAAGAACCCGAUAGUUCCAACAACUUUCACGACGUGAGCACCGCCAUCCCUAGAAUUUCGCGGAGCGGACGAAGAAGGUCGCAUCGAUGCCAGUCAUCCCUCAUCCGCGACGACGAGGCCGGAGAAGAGCGCCCUGAGUAAGCGAAACCCCUUGUUUUCUUGGAAUCCCUCUUCUUCUUUGUCGGUCUUCCCCACCUUUUUCCUUUGAUUGACAUUUCUUUGUUCUGGCAGCGGCCGCCGGAGAAUGGAGGGCCCGGCCCAGGAGCGGAGAGCCCAUGGCUUUCCGGAAAUGAUAGCGUGACCCUCCUCUACCCUUUUCGUGCGGAUCGACGGGAGAAGGGAGAGAGGCCUAGAAACCACACGCGAGGUGUCAUCCUUUCUCGGGGACGCAGAAUGGCAUUCUUUCUAUAAGUUCUGGAACGAGGGAUUGGUUCGGGCAAGUGAAUGCCCCAGUUGCAGACUAAAUACCAUUUGCAUUAAAAAGGUUGAUGGGUCUUGAGGGGUUUUGUUGUGUGAAUUAGAGGGGCAAGCCAUACUUGCGGAUGAGUAUUGCGGCUCGACACCUCUAUAUGAUCCAGUGUCAUAGACGACGGCAGCAUCCAUCGAUGUAGCCCUCGACGACGCCGUGACGAGUGCCGGGGUAAGCGAAACCCUAUAUUUUCAUGGAAGCCCUCUUCUUCGUUGCCGAUCUGUCGCCCUUUUAUUCUUCAUGAUGUCUCUUCUGCAUGCCAUCAAGAAUUCGAUCCCCUCUCUUUGAUUGGCAGUUCUGGCCGUGGUAGGGAAAGAGAGCCCAGUCCACCAGCAGCUCGAACCAAUGGCUGAACGGGAAUGGUAGUGUGACCCUCCUUUUCUCUUCCCUAGGGGAUCAACGGAAGAAUGGAGAAAUCGUAAGAAACCACACGUGAGGUACAUCGUCUUUUGUUGCGGAUGCAGAAUCACAAUCUUUCUUUAAUUGUUAGAAUUAGGGUUUAGUUUAAGUUAUUUGAAGCUCUGUGACUGAAUAACCUACUUGAAAUAAAAUUCCAUCUGCAUUAGAAAGAUUGUCGGGUCUUGAGGAAUUCUGUUGUGCGAACUAGAAGGGAGAAGUCAUACCUGCUGACAAGUAUUGUGCCCAUGAUGGAGCCUUUAAAGCCCACUCGUGUACUGUCUUUCAGGAUCCAGAGUUAGGGGAUCUGGUGACAUUGUUGAGUAAAAAGGGGAAGGCAUUCAUAAACAGCUUAACAACAAUCCUGUCGAUAACCUACCUGAGUAAUGGAAGAUGAGAGUAGUAUCAGAAUGUAGACUUGUGAGAGGAAAUCUAUCGUAUACAAAAGAUGCUAGUUUAUUCAUGUACACGUUUAGUACAAGGAUGAUGGAAAGCAUAGAUGCUUUUUUAGGAAUUAAAAAUUGAUCAAUCUGAAUUGGGAUCAUCUUGGCACACAAUGUGAUAAAAGAUGGAGUGUUUCGAUAAUAGAGGUUCUUCAAAAUAGUAAUUGCUGCUCUUAUCUUCCGGUUAAAGUAGGAAUUCUCUUGUUUUUUCCCUAGGAAAUUGUCUUGUCUGCCUUUGAAUUCUUUAUGAGCUGUUCUGAUCAAAGUAGGAGUGUUUCAACUCUAUUGUUAGCAGUGAAGGGAUCCCUGAGCCCUCCAAACAGUUGGUUAACUUGGUCUCACUUUGGUGCUGCCAAGACAUGACAGUCAAGGGCUUUUGAUGCAUGAUAACAUUUUAGUGACAACGGCUCAAUCACUCUGUGUACUUAUUCAAAAGGAGAAAAAAGUUUAACUUUGGUCCUGAUCGUUAUUGAUAUGGACAAAACCUAUGAUAGACUUAAUCCUAUUGUCAUUGUUAAGAUCAUCAACCAUAUGAACUUCCUUAAUUCAUCUUUGGGUGUAUUCUUGUACUUAUGCUAUUUGGGUUCAUAUAGUAAAUGUAAUUCAUGUAUAUCUUAGUUUAAAAGCUAGAAAAGGGUAAGGCAAGGGACACAUUUUCACUGAACUUCUGUAUUCAUGUAUCCCAGUUGUUAUCGCUUUGCCUAAUGGAUCAAAUUAAAUAUUACAACUUCUAAAUUCAGACAUAUGAUCAAAUUGGGCAUUUAAUGUAUUCAAUUACAUUUUGACGAACAUCGAAGCCUCAAGCUAAUUUUGCAGGUAUUUGUUAAAUGCAUUUGACAAAUGGAAGAAGAUUGGAUAACUAAAGAUUAAAUGUCCAAAAAUUUGCAAUAUUCUUUCUCAAAUCGAUUAUUUUUCAUGCACUGUCCUGUUAUUCUUUAAUAUAUAGCAGUAAGCUUCUGUAUUACUGGAUAGUUGUAGUGGAUCAAAGAAUGAUGUUUUAUAUGGCCCUACCUUGCCUGUAGAAGCUCCAUGUCCAAAAAAUUGCAAUAUUCUUUCUCAAUCGAUUAUUUUUCAUGCACUGGGCUGUUUUUUCUUUAAUAUGUAGCAGUAAGGUUCUGUAUUACUGGAUAGUUGUAAUGGAUCAAAGAAUGAUCUUUUAUAUGGCCCUACCUUGCCUGUAGAAGCUCCAUUAUGAACUUUGUGGUUAUCUCUUGGUAGAUCACAGGGAAUUCAUCCCUUGAUAAACAUGAGAAAGCUUCAGAUAAAAAUACUUUUAGGAGCAUGACCUUGUUAACUCAUUUCUAUUGGCCUUGUUUGAAAUGAGCAUGGAGUUACCUGUAUCCCCGACAUUUGAAACUUUUCUGUUGAAGUUGCAUUUAGGGACAAUACUGGCUAUCAAAUGGUCAGGUACUAUUAGUGUUACAGGCAGUCAGGAAUGCUAGUGGGUUGUAUAAUGUCAUCACAAAGCAAAUUUUCAUUAAUAUUAGUUGUUUUUCCAGUUUUUAUCCUUAGUCCAAAGGUGCCUUUAGUAAUGCUUCCAGUUUUUUUCAAACAUUAGAUAUCGGACAGUGUUUGGAUCAAAGAUCUGGUCUUGACAAGAAGAAACCCUAAGAAGCAUGGACACACGCUUUUGGUGGACAUGUCCAUGUCCAUGUCCGACCACGUCAGACACACGGGCACGUGUCGGACACUCGCAUGCGAUGCUGCACUCGUGUGGCCCUCACAUGAGGGCCAUAUGCUUCACAAGAAAAUAAAUCUAGAGAUCGUUGUAAGGAAACAUAUAUAAAUUAUGUUUAGAGAUUGUUGAAUAUUAUUUGAUAAUUUUAAUUUUUUUCAACCCAUAUGAUGAUAUUCAUUUGUUCACAUUUCUGAGUUUAUAAAAUUUAAUAUAAAUGCUAUAAAACUCAUGUAAAUCUAAUAUUAUAUGUAUAUAUAUAUUAAAAAAUAUGUGUGUUCUCGCUGUAUCUGUUUCCUAAUUUUUUUUAAAAAUGACGCAUCACCAUGUUUGUGUCGCCUCAUGUCCAUGCCCCAUGUCCUGUGCUUCUUAGAAGAAAACUUGUUUAGGAGCUUUCUUUGCUAAAAUGAUGCCACUGGUUAUUUAAAUCUUUCUGCUACAUGUGAGGGGAACCCCACACCAUACCACAGUGCUUUUUGGUGGAAAUACCACCUUCAGAUUGGUACAAGUUGGUCUGUUGGCUCGUGUACAUUUAUGAAUAAAUAUCAUUAUGCUGAAUGUAUAAUCUGGAAAUCUAUAGUUUUAUGGAAGCAUGUAUUUCACAGCUUUUAUUUAAGCUUAGUUGUGAAGGCUUCAUUUCUGUGGGAAGGCCUGGAAUUUGUUGCUUAGGCAGGCAUCCAAUAUCUCUGGGUAGGGAGUGGUUUUGUGAAUCUCAAUACAAUCUGGACAAGAUUAUUAAUUAGAGGAUUAAAACAUUGUACCUGAUAAUAUUUUUUUCUAAGUCUCUGAGAAUGUUUCGUGGUCACAUACUCCUAAGGUAAGCAGGCAGGCUGCAUUUUGUACCUGGAUGGACUAUGUUCCUGAUGUUCCCUUUCGCAUUUUGGCUCUGACACCAUUGUUACUUCACAUGGAUGGUGAAUUUUCUUUCUCACAGAAAGAUAUCACUAUAUAUUUGAAGUCAUCAGAAGUUAUUCUUAGAAAUUAGCUUUUUUUGCUUGGUCCAUUGUUAGUAACCAACUAGGUAUUGUAAUUCAUCAUGUUGUUUAUGAAAUUUCAUUUUUUUUUCUAUAUUGAAAUAACAUGACUAUUAGUUAUAACUAGUUGCCUUGUCUUGUAUCUAAAUACCUUUUUACAUAUAUGUCACCUGUAGUGGGACCAGAGCUUUGGCCAUCUUUUUGCAAAGGUUGUUUGGAGUGGACACUACAACCUUGGAUUUCAUGACUUGGAAAUAGAAGAAAACAUUGCUUAUAAUUAUAGAGCUAAUUGGAUGCCUGGCUGCCUCAUGUCAAGCGUAAGUUUCAUUUGUUUUUCUUAUAUGUCAUUUUAGUCUAGUAAGAACAUAGGUUGGUGACAAGACUAUUUUGCAAAAUGAAUUUCUGAUAGAGUCAUAUGAUCUAACUUUAUCUUCUGCAGCCUUGUUAAUGGUCAUUUUCUGUUUCAUGUUAUAUCGUAGAUUACCUUGCAAAUUGUUUACCUGCCCAUGCCAACAUGUGAACUUAUAAGCCUGAGCAGGUAAUAAAAUGUGAACAUAUCUGAAUGGAUAAUGAUUGGAGUAUAAAAUUGGCUGGUGAUUAAUUGAAAGAGGAUAUGCAAUCCCCCAGUGGGAUAUUUUCACGACAAUCAAACCGUUAUAAGUAUAUGGACCAAAAUUUCACCAUAUGAGGUACUUGAAUUCUGAAAUAUGAUUAAAGGUUAGACUAUGGAGACAUUGCUUAUGGUAAAAGUAACAGUUCCACUGAGCUUUGGGAAGCAAGAUUGAAUCAUCUGGAUUAUGAGAAAGUUUCAAGGAGAUUUUUAGAAGACUUGUAUUCACUGACUUGUUCUAAGAUGAUGUUUCUUUAAUAUGAAGAUACUUUUUCAUACUGUAGUAAUGCUGUUCAUUUAGCAUAAAACUUGAAUGGAUUCACUUUUUUACAUGAAAUUUUACUACUUAAUGUCACUUCCCAUGUUUGAAAAUCGAUAAAAUUACCCUAAAAUCUUCUUGGCAUGGCUGGGGAAAAAAUGUUAUUUUAACGUGAAACCAGUCUAAAAUUAUGUCAGCAAUAUCUCCCUAAAAAUCAAGGAUUACAGCCUUAUAACUCUUCUAAGCAUGAUGUUAACUCUUCUUAGCAUGAUGUGUAGUUCAAGCACUUGUAGGAAGUCAUAGCCAUUGAUGGUCAAUAACAUUUAAAGUAUCAAAAGAAACUAUUGGAGUCCAUAAUGACAUCUUUUAAGAUAAAGUUAAUGUUGAUCUCUGAAUAUUUUAUAAGAUUGAUGCAAUUUCUAUAGGACGUAUUGUUGUAAAGGAUUUUGAAUAAUUUCUAAGGUACAGAUUCAUAAAAAGAGCCUAAAAGACUAUCGGUGAGGCCGUAUGUGUACGUGUGAAGAGGAAGUAUAUAGGUUUAGGUAGUUUUGUCUGCCCAUGAGGUAAAGAUCAAGGGUUCUUAUGAUACAUAAUAAGGUUAAGGGAACUUGCAAUCACUUUCAUAGAAUAAAUAAAUAUAUGAAUAAGACUAGUUUGGUCCAACUAGGAGUAAUGUCUUUUGAUUGGAGGAUGAUCGUACAACUGAAGAUUAUAUCAGUGUGAGAGAAAUUAGUUUAAAUGAAAUACAUAUGUCUCAUUGGAAUACAAUAGUUUAAGGUUGACUUGAGUUGGUAGUAUCUUUGUGGAGGUAAUAUAAAUUCUUGAACAAUUAAUUUUAGGGCGGAAAAAUAUGAAUCUACAUGACGGGCCAUGACAAAGACUUGACCUUGACCUGAACCUAAAUUUGACUGUACUUUCCCAAGAAAGGUCUCAAAUCAGAGUACAAAUAAAUAAAGUGCAUCUUUGGUAACAGGCAGAAGAAGAAGAAGAAGAAGAAGAUGCAGUUGAAGUAGAUGAUCAAGAGAUAACCUUCGUGGCACUUGACAGGUCCCCUUGGCCUAAACCUAAUCAACUUAAAUUAAUAGUGUGGAGCCUUUUUUUCCCGUCAUAUCAAUAUGGUUUGUAAUUAAAGGUUCCUCAUUAUCUUCAAGUAUGGGUUACAAUCUUAGGCUGAGGGUAGAUUGAUUGAGUUGUUGCAGUCCUCUUUAUUGUCUUAGGUGUAGUUACAUGUUAUUUAUAUAUAUAUAUAUAUAUAUAUAUAUAUAUAUAUUUUCCAUUCUUUACUUUCUCUUUUACUUAUCCAUGUACUUGUGCUUUCUUUCGUCACUACCCAUUUAGUUAUUCGAGAUAAACUUCAUCUGUUGCUACCGACUGAUUUUGACUGAUUUAUCUGAGUUUUUGUUUGUCCCAUAUUUGCUUUUGUUUAUUCAUUUAUUUCUGACCUAUGCUUUUUAUUUCUUUUUUCCCUUUAUACUGCUAAUUUACAUGGCUACUAAAAGAAAUACAUUUUUUUUCUUUUUCAUGUUUUGCUGCAUUUUUCUACUUCUGCUGCUCAAAUGUUUUUUUGUUGUUGUUGUGUGUCUUUGUGCUAUAGUUUUUGCUUCCUGUCAUUUCCAUUUUCUGCAGCUGUUACAUGAUUAUUUUCUUUUUGUGUGUUUCUCUCUUUUCAUUUUUGCAUUGUCAUAGAUAAUUUUUUUUUUUUAUAGUAAUAUAUAAUUUUGCAGUUGAAUAUAUGAAGUUCUGGAUUCUUUUAUUUAUUUUUUAUCAUCUUUUCUUGGUUACCAUACAAUUACAUUUUUUUUUAACCUAAUAAAAACAUCAUCUUUUGUUGACGUUCUAUUAAUUAAUUUGAGUUUUCGGUUGCUUUUUUUUUUUUCUUUUCUUUUAUCAAGUAUGUUUUGGUUUAAGAAAAGAAUGAAUCUUUUAUCACUUAGGUUUUGAGGGGAACCUUGUGCAUUGACAAGGAUCUUGUUUAGGAUAUUUGUAUUUGAUCAUUCAUGGUGUUUUUCAUGUCCUUAAGGUGUUUCGUUUCGAAAAAUUAAAAAUUUCGCUAGUUCCAAGUUAAAAAAUUUCAACUGAAAAACUUGGGAGCGCGGACAAAUGGUAAGUCUCCUUGAAAUCCCAUACCACUCAUAAACUACCAUUAUCUUCCUCCAAAGGAUGGAUGGAUUGUUUGAAUAAAACAAGAACAUAAACAUUUUAUCGGCAUAAUGAAUAAGGACAAUUUAUUUAUUUAUGUUUUUAAAUAAUAUGGAAAAAGAAUAACAUGAUUUGGCGAAUAAAAACGAGAUUGUCACAACUAACUCAAAUCGUGACCAAAAAAAAGAUGUGAUCAAUCGCUCUUCAUAAGCUGUAGAAACCGCAACGCGACUCUCAGACCCAGAAUUCGAGCUUCGAGCAACAUCAUUUCCAGCCAUACACAGACGCUCCCCAAGAAGGAUAUUUUAACUGCAACUCUUUUGGAAUCCGUCACAGCUUCAGAAGCGAUUCUUCCAAUUAUAAAAAAGGUAUCGAGAGAAGAUCCUUGCAGCUGCCGAAUAAUACAAGUCGGUCCAUGUAAGUGGUUCGCUAACUUGAGAAUGCACACUAGUAUGUAAUGACCUAUCUCUAUACAGAGUGAGAUGCACAUUUAAGACAAAAAGGCAUCAGGUAGGCUUACCAGGACAUGAUUGACAGCACGUAAACAGUCGUUGGUUUUCAACAUCAGUAAAAUUACACGUGGAAGUCUCCUUAGCAGCUCUGAUAUUUGAGGAAAAUACAGAGAAGCAUACAUCUGUGGUAUAAAAGCAUAAAAAAAAGUACAUGAUAGAAUCAGCUGUGAAAGAAAUCUUGUUGAAACUGUCAUGUCAUUGUAACUAAAGAUAACGGCAAACUUGUUUGUUCUAAGUUAGACCCUUGACAAGGACAUGAAAUAACCUGGAGUUCUGAACGGUCACCAUCGUUGCCUUCCAAGACCAGAUGGUCUGCAGAUGGAUCGAUGACCUUUUUCCAAGGCCUCAUAGUGAGUACUCCUGCAAAUAGAGCACAAAGAUCCUCACCUGCACCAAGUUUUAUACUAUUUUCCUUGAUGGCGUUAGCAUCGGCAAAAACUAGACCCUAUACGCAAAGGUGAGUGAACUCACAAAGUUAACUAUGAAAUUUAUAUAAAAAAAAAAAAGAGUUUGACUAUUGAGAAGAAAAGAUAAAAAAUGCACCUUCCAAAGUGCAGCAUAGUUUGUUCUAGUUGAAAAAUCAAGCUCUCUGUAGAGACCAUGAUCAAGUAGUAUCAAUUGUGGUUUUCUCCUCCCUGCACGUCACAUGCACAAGCUGCUGCUUUAGAAAAUAUCUCUACGAUUUAAACCAAAACUAUAUUCUUCACUAUCAAAUCUGAUGCAGGACAGCAGUAAGAAAAUUAAAUUCUACUAGAAAUGUCAAUUUGGAAAAAAAAAAAAAAACAGGAUACACGAUAUAAGAAAUAAAUAACAAUGAAUAUCUGAACCGACCUCGAUGACUUCAAAAAAAAAAAAAAAUCAGCAAUUCUUAAGUAGAUGGCUAGUGAUUAUCUGAACAGAGAAAUUUUAUAUGCAUAUAAAAUUGUUCUAGUAACACCCCUCGACUUUAUCCCAUAUACAUUUUAUAUGCACCAUAAUAUUUAUGAAAUUGAAGUCCAAAGACAUACUUGAUGGAACUGUAAGUUGUUUUCUGCAGACUGGCCAUGGUUAAAAGCAUGAAACAUGUAAAUUUUGUUAAAUUUACUGGAAUCAACUAUGCACAAAAUUGUACCAUAUAAGCACAAAGGUCAUAAGCUAGAUGCAGAAAAAGCUUCUUACCAAAAAUAUUCCAUUUAUUGGAUGGCAAAGGCCUAACCAUCAUAUUGGCAGCAUGUGGGUCACAAUGAACAAAUCCAUGCUUAAAAAUCAUCUCUGCAAAAGCUCGGGUGACCUGCACGAUUUUAGAUUGACAUACAGUGACACACAUUAUACGUACCAUUCUGAUUUCUGACAAUGAGAAAUGAUUGACAAUUUAAAUAGACUUACUAAUUUUGAAACAUCAACUGGUUCGAGUCCAAGGCUUCGUAUAGCAGUCACAUCAGUAAUUUCCGCAGCGUCCAUAAAUUCCAUAGUCAAAAGUCUAGUGGUACUCAGGUUCCAAUAGACUUUAGGAGCAUAUAUGCUAUGUGCUGUACGAGGAGAUAGCCUUCUAAAAUUGUCCAAACAUUUGACACUGUUCCUAGCCUCAAACAAAAAAUCUAAUUCCUGGAAAUCAUGAUAUGAUUGCUUAAAAUUUAGUCCAUAUUUCAAGAUUAAGAUCAUGAGUGGCAUACACACAAAAAAGUAAAAAAAAAAAAACCCAUAGUAGUGUAGAGUAACUUACACUCUUCAUUGCCAUCACUAAAAUUUGUCCUACGGAUGCUUUACAGCUAUUGGUAAAGUUAUCAGAACUUUAGUACAGACAAAAUAUUGGGGGUUACAAACAAAAGUCAGAUUACAAAAAAUAUUAUCAUGCUACACUGUUCAGUUUACCAUAACAGUGCAGCUUUGGGCUGGCUAUGUAUGUGUUUACACAAGCAUAUGUGCUUACAAAAGCAUAAUAUGAUUGGACUUCUCCACUCAAGUUUACAGAAUACAUUCUAAUGACAAGCAUUAGAUGGCAAAAGGGUGAUUGAACAAAUAAGAAAAAGAAGAACGACCAUAAGCCAAAUGUGAAAUCAUGACGAUGAAGAAAGUCAGGAAGUAACCUGAUUAUUCUUAUAUGAAUGCUCUCAGAUGAAGAAAUAAUAGAGAAUACAUCAAAGAAAAUGUAGUUGACCAACUUUAAGAAGCAAUACAAGAGAAAAUUGCACAUGAUUCUUCAGCAUGAGCAGUACGCACAGUUUAAACAUUUCUGAAUAUUAUAUAGAAAAUGAACUUCAUUGUAGCAAGUUCAUCUAAAAUGAUUUGAUCAUUAAAAGAAAAUUAUAUGUGAUGACCAUUCUUCAAAAAUUCAAGUUUCAUUGGAGAAUAGAUACAUAAAGAUGAUAUUCCAGUAGAAUGACUAACAAGGUUGACAGAGUAACCUGCAUAUAUACAUGCAUGUGUGACUUCUCUUAAACAUUACCAAAAGCAUAGUUAAUGUUUGUCUGGCCCAUGACUUCGUAAAGAAGUAAACAUCAAAAUAACAGGACCAUACAAUAUGCUAAGUUGAUUGACCAAAAAAUUAAUGUGGAAAUCAAGGACAAGCACAAACCAAAAGCAUGAAAAUGUAUGAACAUGACACACGAUACACCAGUCAGAACAUGUCCAUACCGAUCAGACGUUUUCUGAUGUGUCCAAUUAAAAUAAAUGCGUGGAAACACAAAUUAAAACAGAAGGGGAAUACAUGUAAAAGAAAACCUACCUUGGGUGCACUUUCACGAAUUUCAUCAACCAACCACCUAUACAAGAAAAAUGUUAGUUGGCAUGAAUGUUGGUUUUUGGUAGAAAGAAUGAAACAUGAAUGCUGUCAAUGUGUGAUGUGAAGUUGGACAACCAUGAAUCAGAUAAUGUUCUCCAUUGUUGGCAAAUGGUGCUAAAAAAAGGUUCAAACAAUCUGGACCUUGAUGCACGCACAAAUAAACCGACUCAACAUUUUCAAGCAGUAGUUGAAUUCAGAUUACAAGAAAGGCCCUAAUGUGAACAUGAAAGAUUGCCAAAGAUCUCACUUUCUAAAAUAACAAUACAUGUAAUUAUAUGUAUUUCAUAAAGAACAUCUUUACAUGACGGAUCAAUAAAAUAGAACCACCGAAUAUGUACCUAUAGUCAAAUGCAGGAAAACACCAAUGCAAGAAAUUCACUAGCAAAUCCACAGUGGCAAUAUCUGCAACAGCAGUAUCUGUCAAGUGAGUGUGUUGCACCUGUGUGUAGCAAAAAUAAGGGAAUUGAGUAGCACCAGGUAUUAUGCAAUCUCAUCAUCGGAAAAAAAAAGUAUUAAGCAUAAAUCUGAUUCCUGCAUAAAGAAUAUAUCUUCCAACCUUUACAGCAACUUUUUGUCCAUCAUGUGUUCUGGCAGCAUGAACUUGUGCAAGGGAUGCACUAGCUAGUGGGUUUGGAUCAAAUUCUGCAAAAAUCUGAGUACAUAUUGCUUAAUUAGUAGAUACUUAAAAGAUAAAAGGUCCUGUAUAAAGAUGUCUUUUGAUAAUUUGCUAUGAGGUGGGCAAGCGAGUGCAAGAGAUGUAGCUAACAGAAAUACAUCAACAUCUAGUAUUGCAAAAUGAACUAGCGAUAGAACAAACUUUCUCAGGUGGUCCACCAAGCUCUUUAAUGACUACAUUGUGCACUUGAUCAUACGAGGAAACAGGACAUCUCUUCAACAUCGACGCCCUCAUUAUUUGAACAUAUUCUUCCGGAACUACAUAUUCCUAAAGGAAGAUUUAUGAAAUUAGUCAUAUAUAGACAAUAAAAUAUCAGUAAGAAAGAGUAUCUAGAAAUGCUUGCUGCAAAAGCAGUGAAAUUAUUCUAUAGUAAUACUGCAGAAGUGCACGUGUAAACUCUGAACAAAGAUAAUAUUCAGUUAUGGUGUUAAAUCUAAUGCAGUCGGCAUAAGCUAAGGCUCAACAUCGAUUGUUCAGUGUCCCGAUGGAAAAGGAAAAGUUGCUAAAUUUGGCUUGAAUGACUCCCUAAAUCCCUUCCAGGCUUUUUCAAUGUUCUGUCAUUACUUCAGUUCUAAUUAGACAGUAGGAAUCAAUCAAUCAUCACUUGAAUCUAUAGGAGUUAGCCAAAUUGUUGAUAUUCAUUCUCUAUUUAUUUCCUUUGCAAAAUAAUCCUAAAGGGCAUUAAUUGAUGACACUCUAAUCCUAAUACGAAGUUGAAAGUUUUAGGAUAGCUAUUAGAUGAAUAAGUGUGAAGUGAUUUUCCUUUUCUCAAUCAACCUCAAGGGUAUAGGAGCCUUUGGAUGGUUGAAGAGUUUGAUGCAAUCGAGCGGAUGCAUGCAAGUUAUCUUCAAAGUAUACAUCUUUCACCAAUGUUCCUUUGUAUCUAAUGUUGUAAUAACAACAACAAAGUCGUAAGUUCUAACUAUUUGAGAUCAACUACAUGAAUCUCUUGUUGCCAUUGAGAUCUAAUUUUUUCUCUGAUGUUACAAUACCUAAUUUUUUCUCUUCUGCAUCUCUGAUUUUUCUUCUAUAUUUUUAUUUUUUUAUCAAUCAAUUGAGAAAAGAUAAGCAAUUGUUUAUAUUCUAGUGCAGCAUGAUCAGCCCCAAAUCCUCUACAAAACUUUAUUAAAUACAACAACCAGAUAUACAAUGAAUAGAACCACUUUAGUACAAAGUGUUAAUAUCGUUGAUCAGUAUGUAACCAUAGUACAAAAUGCAACAAAAAAUAGGGUGAGAGGAGAGUCCCUUGCCAAAAGGUCAGUUUCAAGACCAAGGCUAUAUUCCAAAUGAGAACAAGAAGGCCUUUCCAACCAUCCAGUGCAACAAAAAUGGGGGUGAGGGGAGGAGGAUAGUCUGCUAGUAAAGUCAAUCUCAAGACCAAGUAAGGCUACUUUCCAAAUGCAACCAAACAAGGUCUCCACCAACUGUCCAGUGCAAUUAAAGUUGUCUAAAAUUGGCAUAUAAGAACUAACAAAAUUCCAGCAAUUCGUGCUUUGAACAAGUACUUAUGGUUCAUUGAAUCCAUAAAGGGACAACAGUCUUUUUGUUAUCACUAUUUUGGCCAAUUUUUUCCUACUAGUGAUUUUAACUAGUGAAAAUAUAUAUGUCUACUUGUAUAUUCGGUCCUGUCAAUGGAUAGCAACCACCUAAGCAUAGAAUACCGAUCUCUAUUAGGAUGAUGCCAUACAUAUUCUAAUGCUCCAGAGAGAUAAUAACACCAGCUUCAGUCAUAAGACUUCUGCCAAAAGCACAUUGGAACUACUCUCACCAUCCAAUUUUCAUUUCCAAGAUCGAUUAUCUUCAUUAUUUUAUAUAAAAAGGAAGGAAUUUGUUCAAUCACAUCAAAACUUGAUGAAUUACUAUUAUUUCUUUAUAUUCAAUCACAUCAAGCUUUAUUACAUUUCAUGUAGAACUUGAUGAACAUUAUUUCAGCUUUAUAUUUAUUUAAGACAUACCAGUUGACUAAUAUGUUGACCAAGCUUGAUAUAUAUCCCUCCAUUGCGAAAACACAAAUCCUGUAAUCUAUGAGCAGAUCGCUUGUGAACUUCAUGCUUUGCCUUGGACCACUCUAUGCUUCCCUCCUUAAGGUUCCAAAGCGAGUAUUGAUAGUCUGAAAGGAAAGUUUGGGGAAGAGCAAAAACCAGAAGCACAAAUGAAAUAUUAUCAGUCUCUCUUCUUUUUUAAUAAAAUAAGCAGCAUAAAUUACAGGGAGAAACAAAACAAAGGAUUCUGCACAUACAUUAAAGGUUUGACCAUAAGCAAAUAACGAAAAAUUAACACAAAAGAGUAGCAUCUAACUUACAAGCCCAAAGUGUAUAAUUAUUUGUUCACAUCAUCUAUGCUUUCAGUUUCAUGAUCCAAUGAGACCCAAGCAUGACUAAGAUGUACUUUUGCAAAAAGAUGAGAUCAGGCAUGACCAAGAAUCUGUUUGGAAUGGUAUGGAGUUGUUAUUGCAAGAUAAUGAAGUUAGUGUUGGUAUUUCUCAUGCAAUACUGAUUAUCCUAACUUCACAAGUUUAUGGUCUGUCUUACCUACUCUCGCAUCCACAACCUUAAAUCCUGCAGGAUAUAAAUCCAUGCAAGGAUGGAAAAACAACCUCACCAUCUAGAUUUCGUUACCAACUAAGCUGGCUCAUUAAAUAGGAUCAAACUGACCUUUCUGUGCUAAGAUAGGUGAUGAGUGUAAAAGUGUCUCGCUGCUUUCACUGCCGCAAAUCACCACUUAAGCUGCCUUGCCUCACCCCUGGAAAGAGAAGGGAAGACCAGAGGACAAGGAGUGGUUGAAGGAUCAGUGGAAGGUGAGGUUUUCGUAUAUUUGUCAUCAAGUUUUGCCAUUUUUUCUCCUUUUCUGUUUUGGUUUUGUAUUCCUUUCGCGAAGUGUGUCAACUGAAAUAGGCGUGUGCUAAUAAACUAAAACCCUUGGAUCUAUACGUCAAAAAUUUACACCCAUUGACUACUGAGAUGAAACUUCUUUGUUUGGUAGCUUCCAAUAAACUAUCUUCCAAAUUUAGCAUCAACAACAUAAUAAUAUAAGUAAACAUCAAAUUAGUUCUUAUCCUUGCAUGCUCUAAAGCUUCUUUUUGUCUUCUUGCUAUGUCUGAUACUUUGAUGCCCAUCAAAAUUUGAUUACUUUGGUUACAAGUAUAAAAUCUCAAUCAAAUGCAAAUUUUGACACCUUAUCAAAUUGGUACCUUUAUAGAAACGUGGAGAAUAUAUCAGCUUGUCUUACCCAAUAGCACUGAAAAAAUAAAAAAAAGUGAAUAAUGACCAAUACCAACCUAUAUGGUUUAACCAGUCCUUGGUCAGACCCAUAAAUACUGGUCGGGGUAUAUACUGGUCCAUUCAAUAUUUGUAACCUUAUGUUACAAGUCUACCAAAGAUUGAGAACCUAAUGAAAGACAUCUCUAGGGGACAAGAUUCAACCAAGUUCAAUGAACUUUUAGUUGCAUAAUCCUAACAUCCAAUGAACACAAGGGACCAACUUCAUUCGGAUUCCAUGAAGCCCCAAAGACUAAAGAGGUUGGUGGAGGUUUAAGGUCCCUAGAUCUAAUCCUUUGGUGAUAGCUUAAAGAACCUUCUAAUGUAUUUUCAUUGUCCCUAAAUAUACAAUGUGGCAUGAGUAAGCCCCAUGGUACAGUGGCACUAGUCAAAAAACCAUGGAAUGCCACAACAUGUGACAUCUCUUAAGAAGUUAUUCACCAAAUAUCCAUUAGUAUAACCAAUGUUCCUUUUUUCUGAGGAAAUAUAACCAAGUAACCAACAGUUUUUAAGAUUACCAAGCUUGUACAAUGAAGCACCCAUUUCAAUUCAUCCAUAAAAUGGAUUAUCACAAUAUAGAUUGCCUAACAAAUCAUACAUACUGUCUUCAAAUCUUACUACACGACAUAACAGAAUUCAACUACUUCAUAGGUGAGCAUUAACAGGUUAAAACCAAAUUACUGAACUGAACCAACUCUAUUUGGUCAAUUAAGUUCAAUUUUCUUAAAAAUUUGGUUCCAAGUGGUUUAUUUUUAAAUGAAAUAUUCAGUUUUUUAUUUGCUCCUGUAGAAUGAGAAUCAUAUAAACCAAAUAAACAAAAAUUUAGUUGCCAUAGGCCUGAUUGAUUUAGUAGCACUGCAAUAUAAAUACUUGAUAAGCCCUGUGCUGAAGUUCGAAAUCAAGGCACAGCCAGAACACAUUCUAAUGUCUCUUGGUGCUAGCUUGAGUGGUUUUCAAAGCUCAAAAGUACAAAACUUUAGAAUUCAAGGAGGAUAUAAUCUUCAGAAAGAAAAUUGACUCCUAAAAACCUAAAUACCACUAUGAUGGGUAAACCUGAUUCUACCCUAUUGGUUUCUGCUUGUGCAGUUUAUCACAUUAGGAAAUACACCAAUUCCACCAACUCAUCACUGUUCUAGAUCAGUUCUUUUUUUAAUUGAACUGACUGAAUUGCAAAUUUAGUGUGGUCAGUUUAGUUCAGAUAUAAUCUCGUUUGUUUCAUUUUUGAAGUUUAAUGCAUCCCAAUCCAAGAAAACCAACUCAAGAUAACCUAAAUUUAAAUGCUCACCCCUAUUAACAGUCCGUCCCUAUAAAUGUGGACAAGAUAAAAAGUCUAUCUCACAAUUUAAAGAACUUCCUAACUAUAAUAUUUUGAACUCAUCGGCUUUUUUGGACUAAACUGAAGAGAAUACCCAAAGCAAUGGUAAACAACUCAAAAACAUUAUCAGGAAGUGAUCAACUACACAAUAAUCUAAAAAUCCCUAAAAAGUAGUAAAACAAAAUCAGGAAGUUAAUCAGGAUCCACCAAAUUGCCAGUGUUGCACAGAUCUCAUCCUUAAGGUCUUCUGUCAUUGAAUUAAUUUAUACUGUAAGUUAAUCAGGAUCCACCAAAUUGCCAGGCUACACAUGUGAUAUAUAUCUCAUUAAAGAUCACUCUCAUAAUUGCAAUCUCACUAAACCACCAUAAUUUUUUGUGAUCCACAUUUCACAAUAAGGGACAAACCUACAAUAAGUAGGUUUAAUAGGUAGCAAACCUAUAAUGAAACUCUAGGCAGGAAGAAAUACGUAAAAGGCACAAUGAAUCUUUCCUCAGAAUUUCAGUACCUGCUCUGAUCAUUUGAGAGACAUAAUAUCCCAAAUCUGGGUUCCAAAUUGAUUUUGAAUAUGCAUAAUAGUGAACCAUUAAAACAGAAAACUUAAAUAUACCUAAAUUUAAAAGAUAUGAGCAUAUAAAAAAUAAAGGUAGAAAUCAGGAUAAGGAAUAAGUAAACUAAAAGCUAGAGAAAAUAACACUGAGAAAAAAAAAUAAUAUAGAUCCUUAUCAGGCAAAGAAAGAGCUCAUGCUUCCAAUAAUCUGUUAUGUAAAUAAUUAAACUUAGACAGAAAAAAUAACAUGCAAAGAGAAAAGAUCAUGUAGAGUCUAUUGACAGAGAGAACUAUUUGACAAUCAAUCAUGUCAAAUACAUAGGGCUUAUUUUGAGGGUAUCUACGAGAAGUCAUCUGAUUCUAGGGCUCAAAUAAAAUGAGGAAUUGAUCUUAUCAUCUCCACGGUUAAACACAAUCUAAAACCCUAAGAGAGGCAAUUCAAGAUCCGAACUAUCAAAAUCUAGUGAUGAAUGUUAUUCUUGAGCUUAAGAGACAAGGCUCCUUCCACUCAGCAUACUUUCUUACUUCAGAAAUUAACCAAAAAUUUCAGGCUGUGACACGCAAAAGAUCAAGAAACAAAACAGGAAACUGGUGCUCACCUGCAAUGAUCAUAGCUACAGUGAGGUUGUCAUGGAGUCAAAGAGGGACGAUGGUACAAAUCCUAAAGAUGGUUGAAUGAUGAGGUAGCAGCAGGAUUCAUCUGAUUCUAGGGAUGCAGACUCCAUAAGGAAUCAAUCUUAAUUUUUCUCGGGCUAAACUAAAUUUAAAACCUUAAAAGAGGCAAUGCAAGAUGCAAAUUGCCAAAACCUACUGACGAAUGUGUAAUUCUUGGACAUAAGAGACAAAGUUCAUCACGCUCCAGCGUAAUUCCUUCCUAAAAGCUUUACCGAAAAUUCGAGGCCACCAUAGGUGUAAAAUCAAGAGACAAUAAGAUCAAGAACUGAAUAUAAGGAGAAAGGAUGGCGAAUUCAUCUGCCAACCGAUCAAGAACGAUGGUGCAAAUCCUGAAUGCGCAAUUCUUGAAGGUCGUCGAAGGAUGAGGUAGCGAGGGAAUACAUCAGGGCUACGGAUAUGAAGGAACCGAUCUCAUCUUCUCCCAGGUUAAACUCGAUUUAAAACCCUAGGAGAGAAGAAGCAAUACAAGACCCAAUCGUCAAACGCUAGUGACGGAAGGCGUGAUUCUUGGGCUAAAUAAACAAGCUCCUCGAGCUUCACCGAAUAUUCCAGGCCGUGAUGCGCGUCAAAUCAAGAAAAAAAUAGAUAGAUAGAUAGAGAGAGAGAGAGAGAGAGACCUCCCACGACCGUAGCCCGAGCUUCACCGAAUAUUCCAGGCCGUGAUGCGCGUCAAAUCAAGAAAAAAAUAGAUAGAUAGAUAGAUAGAUAGAUAGAUAGAUAGAUAGAUAGAUAGAUAGAGAGAGAGAGAGAGAGAGACCUCCCACGAUCGUGGCUACGGUGAGGGUAUCACGGAGGAGGCGAAGAGGGACGGUAGUGCAAAUCUUGAAGUUGGUCGAUGGAUCGUCGGAGGUGGCGAUGGCGGCGGCUGUAGCUCCUCCGCCAAGAACGGCUGCCCCAACUGAGAGCUUCGCCGCAGCACGCCACAUGUAGACCACGAUCCACCUUCCCGCCAAACCAGCACGAGACAAGAGAGGAGGAGCGGCGCCGCCUACUCCGAGAAGCCGACAAGCGAGGACUCACGUAGCCUCUCUCCGAAACCUAAGAUGACAUAUAAAGGCCCAUCGUUAAGGCCCAACUUUGUUGCUUCCCGUGGUGAUACGGAUUUCCAAUUAACGGACUCGGAUACAUCUUCUAAACGGAUUCGGGUCAAUGAAAACCCGAUUGCAUAAUUACAUGAACCAGGGUUCGAUGAGACCAAAUCGCUCUUUUGUUAUUGGGUCAAUCUCGGGUUAAAGACAUAAAUAAGUCCGGUUCGGGUCAAGUCAAACAAUUAGAACACAGGAAGAGCCAAUUUAAAUGGCAUUCGUGUUAUUAAUACCAAUCAAUAAGGCUAAGGAUUUGAGUUAAUCCCGUACGUCCUCGAGGGCUCCGUGGGCAGCUCUUACGGACGCCAACACAGAGCCCGACGACGCCAGCCUUUCUCUCCCUCCUCCGUCCUCCAUCUCCACCCGAUCUCUCUCUCUCUCUUAGGGUUUGCGUGGCCUCUCCACUCUGACGAUCGAUGGCGGGGAUACGGUGGUCGCCGGAGGACGCCGAUCUGCUGCCGGCGCGGCCGCCCGGCGAUCCGGUGUCGGACGACGACCGGUCGGUGGCGGCGGACUCGUGGUCCAUCAAGAGCGACUACGGCAGCACCGUCGACGACGACCAGCGCCAUGCCGACGCCGUCGAGGGCUUCCCCGGCUGCAGCUUUCCGGCCGCGUCAGAUUACAGGUACCCCGUUUCCCUCUCCCGGCUCUGUUAUCCCCUCUUUUGUUCUGAAUCGGCACUCGAGACUUUUUGAUUUGUUUUCGGUUGAUUCAACUAGUCGUGUUUGCAUCGUGCUGUACAUUUUGAUAUGUAUAUCGUUCACUUGCCAUAGUAAUGUAUCUUCUCAGCGAAGCUAUUUUACGGAUCAUCAAUGUUGGUAUGGUGUCAUUAUCAGAUUUUAUUUCCAUUGUUCCGAAAUGUGUGAUUUGAAUGUCAAAUUUUUAUCUCAAAGAUUGUUCCUCGGGAAUCACGAAUCUCAGAUCCGGGAAAGCUCUCCAACGGAAUGGCCUUCAUGACAAUGACGUCCAUUUGACCAAAAUUAAAUACUUGACAGGCAUGGACUCGAUCAUUAUCUUCGUAUAUGUGACUUCAGCGUACAGGUUGCUAAUUUUAUUGUUCGGUCUCAUGAGAAAAAGGCUUGGAUUAUUUCGUGGGUAUGCUAUGAUAGAUCUUAUGUUCCAGGCUUGAUCAUAAAAUAUAUUUCAACUUGUUUUUGGUUUAAGCAAAAAAUCAUUACAUCGUCAUGGGUAAAAAUCUAAUUUUGUUCACACGACAAUCAUUACAUCGGCGCUCAGGUACGUGUAGUAAGGUGUAUGUGCAACUCGUUCAUUAUGAUACUGGUUUCUUUGGAUGUGUCAUCCUAAUCAAGUGUUGAUGACUAAAUGGAGAUGAAUGUUACUAGUUCUGUUUUGAUAUAUGGAUGCAAAUGCAGCUCUGACAAAGAUGCUCCUGAUGCCAAUGAGGUUGAAACAUCAUUGAUGGGCUCACAAAGCUACUGGAAUUCUACUUAUGCUGAGGACCUUGCGAAUCUCCCUGAGCAUGGGAAUUCAAGCGAAGUUUGGUGAGUAUCUCUUUGAUGUUGCAACUUAUUUGAAUUUGUAUCGUUCAUUAUGAUGAUCAUCUAAGUUCAAUAUUAUUGGCAUUGCUCUUUCCUAAAUUUUCAGCAUAUUUAGUGUUAAGGAUUGCUAUUUCAUUGCAUGGAUGUGUAAUGAUGCCUUUCGACACAUUUCUGAACUGUUCCAAUCAUCAUGCUUUGUUUCUGCGAGCAGAAUCCCAAAAGUGACCUAGUCAUAUAUCAGCACCUCCAAUGUGGUUCCGCUUGGUGUGCGACAGUGCCAUGGUGUAUUCUGAUCCAUGCUGACAUAUGUUAAUCAGCAUGGCGAUCCUUGUUCUGGACUUUCAAGAAUUAAUAUCUAUAUGAUCUACUUGUUAACAGUAGAUACAUAUCACAAUGAGUUAUUAACAUUUUUGCCUUAGUUUCGUAUGUCAUUUUUGCUGGCUGAUUAAUAAUAUCCAGUAAGUGUUUUUCAACAACAAUGAUUUUGCUGUUGAUUGUCAAUUGAAACUAAAACAAGACAUGUGUUCUUUAUCAAUUGGUCGUAAAUUGGAAAUAGAUUGUAGUCAGGAAUUCGAAAUUUUGUUAAGUCUCUCGUCUUUCUAUUAUUUAUUUGUUACUGAAGUUAACAUAAUCAUCCUUUUCCCUGCAGGUUUGGUGUUGAAGUCAUGGAUAUUCUUGUCAAGUGGACAAAAAACUUGUGUGCCAGCAUCUGCCAAGGUCUAGAUCGAUCUGAUGACAAUAGCUGCAAAGCUGAACCGGGUGACACCUUCAGAGACUUGUCCAGCUGGCGUGUACUCGACAUUGGAACUGGGAACGGUCUGCUUCUGCAGGAACUUGCAAAGCAAGGGUAAACAUUUCAUUAUUUAUAUGAUUUGGAUUUAGCAAUUUGCUUCAAGCAUGUUGCAGUUUAGAGAAGCAGUCAAUAUUAGAUAUAGAUAGCAUUACUUUUAAUCUCAAAUUGUCCAUUUAUUUUAUAUUUGGAAAAUAUAUGUGCAUCCAGCACAUUUUUUUUAUCAAUGUGAUGUUGAACAAUAUUGUUCAUUGAUACUUUCCUUUCUCUAUGGAUUUUGAUAAAUUCAACAUCUAGAUUUGAUUUGCAUAAUGUCGAAACAACAAGUUAACAGGUUUCAGAAUAGGUUUUGGGGCUAUUAUCCAACACUAAUCACUGAUCCAUGACCACCUGAAUUUGAGUUGGGCUUUGGAACAGAGGAGUGCAGGAAAAUUGAUUUAAGCAUUUUUGGAAGUUCACAUUGACAAAGAAAUCAACAUUCAGAAGAGGCAAGGUCAUCAAUGAAUGUGGUCGCAAGUACAUACUGGCUAAAGAUUUUAGUGGCAACAUCAAGCACAGCAGGCAACAACAUCUACAAGUUGUUAACACUUAACAGUGAUUGUUUUCCUUGUCAUUGAAAAUAUACCAGUUAACUUGUCACCGAACUGUUAAGGCUGGUUGGCAAGAUAAAUGCUCAUAAAGACCUGUAAGUCAAUAUUUAAUUUCUUUACAUCUGAUCAAGAACUGAAGCUAUUUUCUAGAAAUGUCGAUAUUCAAAAUUGUUUACCUGCAGUUUUUUAUGCAAUCUUGUAUGGUUUAAUCCUGAUUGUUCCCUAAAUGAUUCUGUUUGUAUUAGGCUUAGCUGGAAUAUAUUCUUAUUAGUGAUUCUGUGGAAUCUCCACUAAUAUUUAGAUUAUUCUAUGGCUCUUUUUCCUGUCCAAUAUGUUUGCAAAAGAGUAAUUAUUGAUAAUUUUGCAGGUUUCAUGAUCUGACUGGAGUUGAUUACAGCGAGAGAGCUAUUGAGCUUGCCAAAACUCUUGCUGUUCGUGGUGGAUUCUCCUACAUAAACUUUGUGGUAUGUCUUAAGCCAUACUUCCUGCACUGUUUGCUACUUGCUAUCACUCUUGUAUGCCCUCUCCGUCAUGACACAAUUGUAAUUGUUGGUGAUCAUGCACCCCCAGACAAGAGCAUCCAAAUAACUCUCUGAUGGUGCUUAAUAUGAUUGUGCAUCUUGUAGUCUAAGCUCUUGAAGAAACUAUGUUUAUUGCAAUUUGAAACUACAAAUAAAAUCUGUAAUCUUGCAGUUUGAAUGAUGGCCUUUAAAUGUAGGAGCAUGAUCAAAAUAGAGAACUAUGAUGAGCUUUAAGAAAAUAGUUCAGAUCCAGUCAGUAUAAUAGAGCUGGAAGUUGAGUGGGAGCCGUAAGUUAGGGAAACCUAAAUUGCCUUGGAGUUCAACCACCAGCUUAUGAUAGCUGUCUGAUUAACAGUUUUAAAAAGACAGUAACAAAGAGAGAUUUAUUUGGACUACAAUGCUAGUUUAUCAUCGGUCAUUCAACAAUGAUGGUGCAAGUUUGAUUGAGGACACUAGCAGGUUAACGCACUCAAAGUUUUGACGGAUCCAGAUAGAUUGUCAUGGUGUGCCAACUUCCAAGAUAUGCGACACAUGAUGAUCGAAGUUAGAAAAGAAAUCCAGACACUAUACCUAGGCUUCUAAUAUCUGUUGUGCAGUAUGUCCUUUAAUUGUGUUAUAGAUGUAAAUCAUGUAAUACCAACCAUAUGGACUUAUAAAUUUCCUCUGCUUUUCUUCUUUUAGUGAUAGAUGGAUCUAAGAUUGAAUUUUGUUAUUUAAAUCAUCUUUCCCUUCAUGAUAUGAACCUAUAGGCAACUUGACGGUAGCUGUUGGGUUUCUUUUGUAAAUAUAUUCUCUCUUUCAUAAUUAUCUUGCAGGUCGACGAUGUCCUUGAGACAAAACUUGGCAGGAGCUUCCAACUUGUUAUGGACAAAGGGACUUUGGAUGCCAUAGGGCUACAUCCAGAUUUUCCUGUCAAACGGUUAUUUUAUGAUUUUAUCUAUGAUUGAAACUUUUAGAGAUCUACUGCUCUUGGUUUCAAUGUUUCUGUAUCAUCUAAAAUUUUUCAAGCAUUAUUGACCUACUCCAUUAUAAAAUCAUACUUUAAGUUCUUCAGCAGUAGUUUGUUAUAGCUGUACGAUGAAACGUGGUUUGAGUUUACGAACCAUUUCUGCUUGGUUACAAUUUGGCAUGUUCCUGAUACAGAUGAAAACAACAAUUAGCAACAAUUAUUUCAGGCAGUAUUACCUUCCUCCAUUUAUCAUUCUUUAAGGGAAACACUUUUUUUCCAUAUUCUUGAAAUACUGGGAUGUUUAGAGAAAUCAUGUGAAAUAUCUGGUGCUUUAGAUAACAUUGAUGAUUUUACUUUCAUAAUCGUAUGAAUAAGCUUUAUUGACUUUCUUGGUACUCACGUUCCAGGAUGAUGUACUGGGACUCUGUCUCGCAUCUGGUUGCUCCGGGCGGGAUACUGGUUGGCAACUUAUAGUUCAUUUAUAAAUUUGUUCUUCGAACAGAAAUAUAUUUAUUCCUUCCAUUUGAAACCAAUUUCAAAUUUCAGAAGCUUCCAUAUGUUAUUUCUCAGACUUCACCCCUCACCAUCUCCUUAUACACAUGGAUUUUGUUUGCAGGUAAUCACUUUAUGUAACCGCACAAAAGAUGAACUACUGCAAGAGGUUGAACAAUUCAACCAACAAAGGCUUGGCUCCCAAGAAGAGAACUCAAGCACUGAGUCUGCAGUCUUCCAGUACCUCAAUCAUGUUCAGACCUAUCCUACUAUAACUCUCGGCGGUGUCGAUGGGUCUCGCAUCACCACUGUAGCACUAGUCCGCCUUUGACUGGUUCAUUGUUUCUUUUUAUUCUCCCUUUUAGAGUUGAUGAACUGGCCUCUGCCUGUCUUCUAUUCUCACUUUGGGAGUUCUCUAAUUUCAUUUGGUUUUCCUCCAUUGUCUUGACAGGUUGUCACUUGUCAGUUACGUUGAUGGAUUUGUCAUGUGGACCUGCUGCCAUUUGACUAAUGUUUAUCAAAAUUUAUGUGGAAAAAGAUGCUAUAAAAUUGAUGGAAAUCGACCCCAUGUCAAUAUAGAAUGAGUACUGUGUAUUAUUGAUUUUCGUCGUAACGUUAAUUAUAAAUUAGUUCUUAUAAUUAGUUACCUUUAAUAUUUCGAUCUUUAUACUUUCAAAAGUUAUAUUGAAAUUUUUAUAUUUACAAAGGUAAAACGUUUAAUAUUGUUUCUUAUCACAUCGUGUUUAUAUUCAUCUGUUUAUGUUCUAUGAUUCCAUGUUGAAUAUUUAAGACCACAAAAUAUGUCCUGUUGUGAUCAACACUGUUCUUCAUAGGAUCCAACGUUAAGCUCGUCAGAAGCAUAGGAAGAAAACUACGUAGCCAAUCACUCAUUUCACACACUCUCUCUCCCAGAUUUCAUGCUUCGCAAUCACUUAAACGAUUGCGAUCUCCUUCUUCGGAGAGAAACCAAACCAAAGCAAGUCAACGCGAAUGCUUCCUUGGAGUCUCCUUCACGCUCAAAGUGUAUUGCUCAUUUUGGCUCGAGGAAUCUGAGCCAGCUUUUGUCGGGAUCGCUUCGAUUCCACAUGUCGGUAUCAUGAAUGAGUGCCCGUUCCUCCAAUGAACCGCGACAUCGAUGUUGCCGUCUUCGCCGUCGUCGUCUGUUUUGGAAGAAUAGAAUGCUUUCGUUCUGCUGCUACUAAUGGUCGAGUUUUGAUUUUAGUGGCAACUCGAAGGCAGACGAUCUCCAUAUAUCCCCUUCUCGUCUCCGUGUUCUUCCUCUUGCUAACAGCAAUCUCCUCGUUACUUCCAUAAGCCCAUGGAAGACAACAAAGACGUGUACACGAAAGAUGGGACGACAGAUCUCCAUGGAAACCCAGUUAUCAAGAAGAACACCGGAAAUUGGAGAGCUUGUCCCUACAUUCUCGGUACAACAUGCAUGUACAUGGUUUGAUCUUGUUAGCUUCCGCAGAUACUUACGCUAUGUGGUUGGCUGAUCUGCAGCAAACGAGUGCUGCGAAAGGCUGGCGUACUACGGGAUGAGCACCAACAUGGUGAACUACAUGAAGGAUCAUCUCCACCAAGAGAAUGCCACAGCAGCGAAGAACAACACCAACUGGUCCGGUACAUGCUACAUCACACCUCUGCUUGGGGCGUUCAUAGCUGAUGCCUACCUGGGAAGAUACUGGACGAUUGCCGGCUUCAUGAUCAUAUAUAUCUUGGUAAGGAACCAAUGGAGUCGGUCGGGAUUGAUUGUGUGGAGAAUUCAGGUAAGUAGCUCGUCUUCUACUUGAUUACAGGGUUUGACACUGUUGACGAUGACCGCGUCAGUGACGGGUUUGAAACCUCCUUGCCAAAAUGGUGUCUGCGAUCCAACGACGGCACAAAGUGCAGCAUUCUUUGUGGCACUCUAUCUUAUUGCGCUGGGGACGGGAGGAAUCAAGCCAUGCGUCUCUUCCUUCGGCGCCGACCAGUUCGAUGAAUCCGACGAGUCGGAGAAGAAGAGGAAGAGCUCCUUCUUCAACUGGUUCUACUUCUCCAUCAACGUAGGCUCCCUGGUUGCUUCUUCUGUGAUAGUUUGGGUUCAGACGAACGUGGGAUGGGGAUGGGGGUUUGGGAUCCCGGCGGUGGUGAUGGCUGUCGCGGUGGCGAGCUUCUUCUUCGGCACUCCCCUGUAUCGGCACCAGAAACCCGGAGGAAGCCCGCUUACGCGCAUUGCUCAGGUUGUGGUGGCAUCUUGGAGGAAGUUUGGAGCGAAGGUGCCCGAUGACAAGUCACUGCUUUAUGAGAUCACGGAGAAGGAAUCCGCCAUUCGAGGCAGCCGUAAGCUUGACCACACAGAUCAAUUCAAGUAAGUCCACUGCAACUCGCAUGCAGUUGGCAUGGAUCGAAGCGAAUGAAUGGUCUGAUUCUUUCCCUCUCAGGUUCCUCGACAAGGCUGCGGUAGAGACGCAAGCAGACAAACUGACGGGUCCGGUGAACCCAUGGGGGCUGUGCACGGUCACCCAAGUGGAGGAGCUGAAGAGCAUUCUGCGGCUUCUGCCCGUUUGGGCAAGCGGCAUCGUCUUCUCUGCCGUCUACAGCCAGAUGGGCAACAUGUUCGUGCUGCAGGGCGACACCAUGGAUCGGCACAUGGGCCCCCACUUCGAGGUACCGGCGGCGUCGCUCUCCAUGGCCGACACCAUCGGGGUGAUCAUGUGGGUCCCGAUCUACGAUCGCAUCAUCGUGCCGGCGGUCCGAAGGUGGACCGGCCGGGAGCGCGGCUUCACGCAGCUGACGCGCAUGGGCAUCGGCCUCGUCAUCUCCAUCUUCCCCAUGUUGGCAGCCGGUGCUCUGGAGGUGGUAAGGCUGCGAACCGCGGCGCGGCACAACCUGUACGACGACCCCGAUGCCUACGUUCCCAUAUCCAUAUUCUGGCAGGUGCCACAGUACUUCAUCGUGGGCGUCGCGGAAGUCUUCACCUUCAUCGGGCAGCUGGAGUUCUUCUACGACCAGGCACCCGACGCGAUGAGGAGCAUGUGUUCCGCCCUCUCGCUCACCACGGUGGCGCUUGGCAACUACUUAAGCUCCUUGCUCGUCACGAUCGUGGCUGCCGUUACGACGAGGAACGGGAAGCUCGGAUGGAUCCCGGAUGAUCUUAACCGCGGCCACCUCGAUUACUUCUUCUGGCUCCUGGCCGUUCUCAGCCUUCUCAACUUCGGCGUGUAUCUCUUGAUCGCCAAGUGCUACACCUACAAGAAGACAAUAGACGAUGAGAUGACAACAGCUAAUGACGCUGAGCUGCUGUGAGGCUUGUAAUAGGUUGGGUUGCUUUAGCAGACAGGCGAGGCUGUGGAAGAACUCCACCAGGUGUUUGCGUUUUGUUCGAUGCUGGUCGUGCUUUAAUGGAGCUCUGCAAGCUGGCAAUCCUGCGAUAGCUCGACUUGUUCUUGUGACAUUUUUAGCAUCCCUAAAACAAAGAAAUCCCAUCUCGAGUGCUUUCUAUAUAUACACCAUGAAGUUUGAACAAAGUGAAACCAUUAUACACCACAAGAGAUGAGAUUUUUCCUUCUUUUUUCGAUUGCAUAAAAAGAGUUAUUGAAGACAAGAAAAUGCGAUACAUGCGCGGGGCUUCAACACAAUGAAACUAAUCCACAGCCAUAGGAGAUGAGAUUUUUCUUUCUUUGAUUGCAUAAUAAAGAAUUGUUGAAGACAAAGAAACAAUGCAUAUGAACAUGUUAUGCUGUCGGGAGCAAAAUGAUUAUAUGCAACAAUCAAAUUUCAGUUUCUUUUUUAAAACUCAUAAGCAUCAAUGCCCAGUUCAGCCAAGACGUGCAACGAUGCGGGGUGAUUGUAGCACUUCCAAGUUCAGUCCAUGCUGGUAUCUCCAACGGGGAAACAAGCGGUCAUGAUCGAUGAUGUCCGUAAUCAACUAUGUACCAACGGCUAAUCAUCUAUGUACCACUCACUACAGAGUUGGAAUGGAUGUGGUUCCCAUCUUCUCCAUGCUUGCCGUUCACUUGCACUCUCUGCCUCUGGUUGGAAGCAAGAAUAGAAGUUUGCAUUCAGUCAGGAAUAGCAAAGAGGUAAAAGGAUGGGAAAAAUUCAUAGACAGGUGCAGAUGAGACUAUGUUCUUAAGAGACCGAUACUGACUGUAAGUGACACAUGUUAGAACAUGUGAUCUGCAUCAUCUUUAUGGGAUUACAAGAAAAGAAAGAGAUACCUAAUAAUACAACUUAACACAUUUAAACAAACCUAUUGCUUUAAGUAAAUUGAUUAUGCUUAAUCAAGUAAUUCCAUGUCAGCAGGCUCCAUGCAGAAAAUGUUUGUAGAAUAAUAUACCAGUCUAAUAAUCUUAGUUCUGAUUGCCAUGACAAUAUGAAGCACACUUCAACUUCAGUGCUUUUCACAUACACAAGUGAUUGGCUUUGGAUAUAUACUUACAGAAACAAAUCUAAAGUAAAUAAGGACUAUGCCAGAAACAAUCCAAUAAUGACAAAGCUAUGCUAACAAUACCUCUGUGCUAUGAUGCUUUACGAUUAACUACAUAACACAUAACAUACUAUAAAUAAAAGAUGAUCAAUUACAUCAAAAAAUACAUUAGGUAAAAGUGUCAUACCCAAUCAGCGGCAUCCACUGUAUUUCCGUUCAAUAAUUUGCGGUGAUCUUCUCUAAAUUUUCCAUCUUUCUCUUUGACAUUCAAAGGUAACAAUGGUUGGGAUCCACUUGAACGAUCAGGCAUUUCUGUCAUAAAUAAUAUGAAAUUUUUUCACUCAACCAGUAUAUAUUAUGAAGCAAUAUAGAAUAUAAAUCAAUCAAGUAAAAGACAUAUUUACCUGGUAGUUUCUUGUCAAUGAAGAAUACUACUAAAUUCACGGUAUACCUGCAAGCAUACAAAUGGAAACAUAAUUUAGUUGCCAUCAAGAAAGUUUAUAAAGAACAUAAAAAGAAAAUACCAGGACACAGGUUCAACCCACCAUGCAACGACUAUGUCUACUGUGUAAUGUUUGCGGGAGGCUACUAUAAGCAAACUCUGAACAAUAGCAAUAACCCAAGCAAGAAACUUAAUGAACCUGCAAAUGUCCAGCUUCGGUUAACUUUGAUAAAUAACAAGAAGCUAGAGUUGCACAAUGCAACAAGUGUACCUUUUAGAGCCAUAUUUGUUGUAAGUAAGCACAAAAACUAGUGUAAAUAUCAUGUGGGAUGAGAAUAUAAGAUCACCACAGCCAUAAAUGACCCCAUGUGGAACUGCCAGCAAGAAAACACAAGAUAAAUACCUAACAUGGCAAUGAUGCUAUUUAACUUGUAGGAUAUAAUAUUGGAUAAAGGAACACACAGUUAAUUAGAAGUACUUCAGUUACACUCUUCGGUGCGGGCAGUCUGGCAAGCUCCGAUCCCUAAAAAAAUGAGGAAAAGGAUGUUGGUGAUGUUACAGAUCAAAAUUAUUUGAGAGGCAAAAUAAUAUUAAGAACUGACAGCUAUUCCCUGCAUAUACCUCACGACAAUGAUAGUUAGGACCAGGAAGCUGCGUAGAAUAGAAAGUGAUUAUCCGCAAUACUUGAGAAGCCUGUAAAGACCAUCAGCAUUAUAUAACAGGAUGACCAGGAAGAGAGGAAAUAACAGUUAAACACAAACUUACAACUAAAAAUGCCAAAACUCUCAGCCAGAGAAGAACAGUGUAGAAGCGCUUGCUAUGAUAAACAAAGGGAUGAAAUGUCCACUGUCACAAAUAACAAUACCAUGUCAUAAUCAUCAUAUGAUUAAUAAAGACACAGUGAUUACAGCAUUAACAAAGAUGAGCAAUAUAAUGUAGGAGCUCAGAACAAACAUGGUCACCAUGAGUGUACAACAAAUGCACAUGACUGCAUGUGUGUGUGCACAUGCACAUGUGGCCACUUACAUACACUGCCAAAAUAAAAGGAGCAGAUAAGGAAAAAAAAAAAUUUACUGCAUCCCGAUACCAAGUAAAAUGGUGUUGACUUUAAAGAAGGCUCAAGAUUAUAUAAUAAAUGUGCAUUAAAUUCAGAGUAACUAGCACAAAAAAGUUAAACAAAAAGGGGUAAGGUAAAAACUACAACACUGCAGUAAAACCAGUAUGGCUUUUGAAACUAAUUUAGGCCUACAAUUGUUGCGUGAUGAUAAAUUUAUUUGACAAUAGUAUCCAACAUGCUAGAUAAUGACGAUGAUGCUGAUUCUGGAAUUGCUGUCAAAAAGAGAAGCAUCAAUGAAUAACACACACAGAGAGAGAGAGAGAGGUACAUACCAGUGCAAAGGACACAAAGACGAAGGUGAACAGACUUUCACUGAUAUAACCUCUUUCUUUCCCAAGUUCCUAGAAUUAUCAAAGCAUUGAUAAAAGAAUGAUGUUACUUCAAACAAAGAACUGAACAAUUUUUUUGAAGUUUUAGUUAAUCAAGUGCAGAUACAAG